rnacentral:lncRNA from 1 species
UAAGAAGAAGAAAUGGAUUAUGGCAUGGCAGCCAGUUGCUAGUAAUAGUUAUAUUAUUAUUAGUGAUCAAGUAUGUAACCAUGGCGUGUUAUGUUGAAUAUACUUAUAUUAAAUAACAUCGAGCAAUAUAUAUAUAUAUGGGUUUAUGAGACGUAAGAUUUUGCUUGAUCCUCCGUUUCUUUGGAUGGAUUUAGCCGAUGAGCGCUGGUGGUGUCUUGUGUAUCAGUUUGAAUGGAAGGCAUGGAUUUCUUCACGACUUCCAAAAUUAGCAAAGAUUUGGGAGGUGUCUCUGUAAUGGGGUCCGUUUAUUUAAUGAAAGGCACAAGUUUCUGCAUGUUGGUUGUUUGCAGAGGCCACUCCUCUCGUCAAAUCUUUGCUUUGUUUUUCUGUAAACUAGGCCCUGGGUUAAUUUCUUACCGAGUGAAAAAGAAUGAUGAUGCCAUGGCAAUACUUUAAAGUAAGUAUAAAAAUUUUGUAAAUGAGAGGCUGUACGCAUUAUAUAAGUCAAAACACAAUGAAGUUAACCUAGUUUAUAAUAACACAAGGAGAGUAGUUCACUGGUAAGGUUUAGGUUUGCUUUGAGAGUAGUUUAAUUAGUACAGGUAUAUAUUUUUGAAAUCCAAACUGAUUUGACUAGUUGAACUGGGAUCCGGCUGACCUGGAUAUAGAACUGGUUUGGAUCUCAGCAAAAACCUGCUUGAGAGUUGACCUGAUAAACCCGUUUAUUUUUCAUACUUUUUCGCUACAACUUUGUAGAAGUACCGACAGAUGUAGAGGUCAUUACAUGCUCUGCAUAUGUUAUAUUAACCAUUGAACAAAAAUGAGAGAAUAAAAAAAUCAUUAGAGAAAUCUGUUGCAUAAAACCCAUUUCUUCAAUCUUUAAAAUUCAAAAUUCAAAGCUAUAUCACUAUCAGUUGCGAUUCGUGAAGAAGAGCAGAGGAGCAAAAGACUUCAAGACCGGUUCAGAUCUACGAGCAGAGUAUAUAAUCCUUCAUCUAGCUCCUCAUGACUCUCCUUGUUUCUCUUGCUCUCUAUUACAUCGUUCAUGUCCACAAACAAACAAUGAAGACGAAGCAAUCUCGAUCUGGGAAGAAACCAUAAGUCCAAUAAUGGGACAUCACGACAUGGAAUAGAGUAAAUGCAACAAUUUGUGCAGGCCAUAAACGAGAUACAACCCAUUUUUCUAGAAAAAAAAAAGAGAGGAUGUAUGGGGGGCAAGGAAAACCCAAGCGGUAAUUGUGGACCAUAAAGAAACGGAUGAAUCUUGUUUUCAGGAUGCUAAACUAACCAAUGGUUAGUAACCACCACCAACAAUACAAGUCAUGCCUUGGCUUUUAUUUUCUAAUUUUAGGACUUUAUUGUAGAAAGCUGUUUUGUUGCUUUAAAAACGAAUGGCAUGCCUUGGCUUUUAUUUUGUUAAUUACUUUUAACAAAAGAAAAGAAAGACUGGCUUUUAAAUUAUUUUUUUUUAAUGACCUGGAUCAACCCAUCUGAUCCGUGACCCGAUUACAGUAUUAGGUCGGGUUUUAAAACUAUGAGUUUAAAUUUGCUUUUUAGAUGUCACCAAUUUGAGUUUCACAAAUCUCAUUGUCACUAGAGGCUUAUAUGUUAAUUUCAAGACUCGUGAGAUUAAUCGAGAUGCGUGCAAACUGGUCUGGACACCUAUAUUAAUUAAAAAAAUAAAAAAAUAUAAAAAAAGUUUAUAAUUAACAAAAUAUUACUUGAUAAAACCAGAAAAAAAAAAACUUGCAAAAAAUCAUGUACAUCCAGGUAAAUUUAAAAAAUUUAGAUUAAUUUUUUAAAUUCAUAACUUGUUGAAGUUAUGAAUUUGAUAAAUAUCUUUCCCAAGGAUUCCCCGGGUAACGUGGUAAGCAAACAAUCAAAGCCUCGCCGGUUGUUUUCUAAGACAUUUUUAGGGUUUUAAAGCCCCGUGAAAUGUUGAAUGAAGUUGAGCUCUCUGCAAACACCAACUGGAUAAUCCCAUAAAUGUUUCAGCGAUUGAAAGAAAAAAAACCAAUUCUACAAAAAAAUAAUUAACUGUAAUCUCAGCAAAACAUUUACAAGGAUAUGGCACCCAGAAGUAAAUGUAACAUGCAAAUAACUGGUCCAACUAAGCCAGGCUCAAGCAGAGCUGUGUUUCUCCCAAAUUUACGUGGUAUCCCAAUUUCAUGCAGCUAAUGGAAUUUACAACCUAAAUCCACACAAGGUCCGCCAUGAUGCUUUCUUCCUAGAGCCAUGGAAUCAAAUUGCUGCCCUCAAUGCUCCUCUUGCAGCUUCCCGCUUCAUCUCGGCAGCUUUACCGCUUCCACGGAAGUACAUGCCUACUUGCUGCGCGGCAAAUGGGAACAAUGGUGUGACGUAUGCUUUCAAGAAAAUUCUAAAUGCUAAUGGUGGAUAGAUGUUAUUAUAAACAACUCAUCACAAGGAAAAACAUGGAAAUGUACCUGAAUAACCCAGAUGCUCAGCAGUGAUUCAAGACAGAAACAACCGAAUCCGAUGAAGUAGAAAAUCUAUAAGAAAAGGUAAAAAAUUAACCAUCCAGCCUGCAGAAAGUAAUGCCAUGUUGUUUCUAGCAAUAAAACCAACGUCACAGUGGAUAACAAACAGAGCAAAGUCGAAGGAACAAAGCUAGGAAAAAAAAUAAAAAAGAAGUGGAGGCCUAACUUGUUCAAGCGCUUAGUCAUUCAUAAACAAGGAUUUGGAAGAAAUAGAUAAUCAGCAAGAAACAUAACAAAUUGAUAUCAGAGAUCUUACCCCAGCUAAAGUACUAUUACCGACAACAUCAACUGCAGCCAGGAUACCACUGAUUCAAAGUCCCACAACAAAAAACCAUUAGCCACAAAACUUUAAAGGAUUUUGCAUUAUAAAGAAUAGUGAUUUUUUGAAAUUCGCAAGAAUGCUGGUUUGAAAACGGUAGUUAAAAAUAAUUGAAGAAACCUACGUGAGAGACUUUCCCUUGAAAACUAUAGGUGGAGCAACAGCAGCAAAGAUGCAGAAGCCAAUGUGAAGCUGGGGAAAGAAAGAUGGAACAAAAGGUUAGAUAUUCAAUUUUGAUUUUCAUAGGAGAUAAGCUGUACAAAAUAUAAAAGACAUGAAAAAACACCAGAGAUUAAAAUUUACCGCAUAAAGCAUGAAAAACCAUCCAAAACUCAUAGCACUCUCAGUCCUGCAUGAAGAGUUUGAAUUGAUUGAAUAAAAGAGAACUUAAUUCAACAGCACAGUAAACUGCAAUAUUUGUAUGUUUUGAAAUAACUAUACAUGAUCAUCGGUGUAUGGAGGUAAAUAUCUAGAUUAACAACACCCCUUGUUCACAUUUUGUUUCAAUCAUCUAAACAUAAAUCAUUGGAUCAGAAUAAUGUUAACAAUGAAAGUACAUCAUAAACAUACAUUCACCAAUAAUCUGCUACUUUUCAAUGGUCUCGUGUAUAUUUCAAGCUUCAAAACAACACCUUUUGACCUCCCUAGCAUAAACCAGCCUUGUCUUCCACAGUUUUGAAAAACAGCUCAUAAAGCACAGUAACUCAACCAAGCCUCGGUCCUGAACUAGCUGUUUUUUUUUAGGGUUUACUCUUCAGCCUAGUUCAGACUUAAGAAUCACACAGAAGUUGGAAAAAAAAAAAGGGAGGUAAAUACCUAAAUGCACGAUAGAGUGGACGAUACCACAGAAAAUAAGCUCCAGGAACUCCUGCUAUGAAGUAGAUAACAGCAAGAAACCAGACGUUUACCCCUGCAACAAAUGAUGUUUCAAGAUGAAGAGUUUUAAAAACAAAACAGAUAAUGGAACACCUUGCAAACACAGGAUAGAUGAGGCACAAGUUUCCGAACUAACCUCCUCCUUUAAUCCAUAAUGUUGUAACAGAUAUCACAUUCCAGAAAAGACAAAAAGUAAUUCCUGCACAAGAUCACCACUUACACUGAGCCAUUUCACAAUGUAAUUGUGCACAAUUACAUCAAAGUUACUAUAAUAACGAAAAAUAAUCACAUUGAACCAGUACUAUAUGCAUACUUCAAUCAAUUAGAUCGCCUUUUUGCUAAUGAACUUUCCAUCUUACACAUGAUAUUAGUUGUAAUCUAGGUCCGAAGCAGAAGUGUAGCAUGGAUAUGACAUGAUGCAAAUUUCCCUCGGCUAUAUGGUCUGUAAGGAAGGUAAAUAAGCAAGUGUUUCUGUGCAAAGAUGGCAUCACAGACCAAGGGGAAGAACAGAACCCAAUUUAGACCCAGGAAUAGUGAGUGCUUUUAAUUACUAGGCAGCAUGGAAAAUGAUAGUCUCUUUCCUUGAGGUGUAGGCUGGGAGCUGGGAGGAGAAUGGUAGGGAAGGAGGGGAUGGGAAGAAAAAGAUACACUCCAUGCAGAUGAUCUCAGAUUGUCACAGUGAUGGUGUAUUUUACAGAAAACAAUGGCAGGGUCACAGCUUAAAAAACCUUGUGGAUGCUUCACGUUUGAAAAUUGUCCCAUUUGAAAAAAAAAAUAUUGAGCAGUAACACAAUGAACACAUAAUUCAUGUACUAACAGCCACAGCAAUAUAAUACACAUAGAUCCUCCUGGUUGGGAUACUUAAGAGGGUCAAGGCGCAUGCCCUGGACCCCAUCCAAUAAACUAGAUAGCGGAUACCUUAAAGUAAUUGGAGAAAUAUGACAAGAAUUCCAUAUCUCAAUAUUUCAACAAGGAUUUGUUAGCCAAGCUUCCAACCUUGACAAGGAUUUGUUAUUAUGAAAAAAAUGGAAGGAAUGUAGAGUUUCAAAACCCAGAAGUGUUCAAAAAAAUGGACUUCUUAAGUAGACGCUGACAACAUCAGUUCACAGAUCUGGAUGGAGGCUCACAUACCUAGAAAUGUUGUAAACGCAACAUAUUGAAGUUUCUGUAGAUGAACUGGUAUUUCAUUUGCAAUAUCAUGAUGGAUAAUUGGGAAAAAUGGUGGCCAAUUUUUCUCUUCCAGGACAAUUCCAGCUGUGAAUGGAAAGAGAGAACUAAAAACGUUAAUUGCAUGACAGAACUAGUGCACCAAUCAACCAUACAAGCAAAGAGAAUCAGUCCGGUUGUUCAAAUAAUACGUGCAACUAGGUAUUCAAAUAUUUCACAAUGGAAAAAAGUAGUCUUGUAGACGAGCAUCAUCAGAAACAAGGAACAAUUGGCGAGUGUUGCAAAUAAAAUACACCUACUCAUUUUAACACCAACCAAAGUACAAAGGACCUGGUUCAUUUCCUUAUUCAUCUUUCAAAGAAAAUAUCCUAUGCCAGAUGAUGUGAAAAGGCUUGAUCAAAAGCAUAUUACCUCUAGCAGCUGCAUCUUCUUUCCUCUUCACCUCCUGUUUAGCACCAGAAGGCAGAUUAAUGAGAUGAAUAGAAUGCAAGGAUAUGAAGUGAGAAGAAAGUCACAAAAGAAAAGCAUCCAUAAUAAGUUUAAAAGGAUGACAGAGCUAAUCAAUAUCCAACCUGCACGAUGUCCAAAAAUUAUGGUGGGAUGUUUAUAAAUAAAUAAACACUGCUCUGCACUGAAGCUUUUAUAGCAGUAUAAAACAGGUUCUAUUAAUAAACCAGAACAUAAAUACAUUUUCAAAAGGCAAUUUCACAUCCUUUAAAGACCUUUGACAACACAAACCAUAAUUGUAAGGAUUCGUAAAUGUCUUCCUUCUAAACAACUUUGUUCAGCGCAAAAAAAGUUAAUCACAGUUCCACUUGAAAAUCUAACACUUCUAUCAGAACAUACCUGCUCCCGCCUUCUCAGUUCAGCCUCCUUAGCUUGAAGUUCCUUCUCUUUCUUCCUUAAGUCCUAGAUUCAUAACAUACUAUUAAGAAAAAAUCAAGUAUAGCACUAAUUAUACAAAUGAAAAAAUGGACUCUGGUUUUCACCAGAAAGAGAAUUUUGCCCAUACCGCAGGUGCAUCAAUAGGAAUGUCAACUGUAUUGCCGUAAUUGUAAAAGUCAGCAGGUUCAGGAGGAAGUGGUGAAAGCCUCGAGUUUGAUGCAGGAGGAGCACUCUAGAAAAUUACCAAUAUCAUGAGCAAGAAUUCCAGAAUUCAAUAAACAAAAGAUUGGUACCAGAAUCUACUGGUUCAAAAUUGAAAUAUAUGUCAAUUUUUGCAAGAAUUAGGCUUACUGCUGUGUUAAAUGCACGCCCACCAUACUUCGAUUGCCCUGAUGAUUUCGAUCUCACAGCUGGGUCCUGGUGAAAAAAAAAAAACCAGAUUAAAAUUAUCAGGCUCUUGAAAAAUACAAGGCAAAAGGCCAGCCAUCUAAUUCCUGAAAAUGAUCCUGAUCCACGUUAAGCACCAGCUUAUCUCUCCCACCAGCAUGGAUUACUCACAUUUUAAAAAAAAAAAAUAUGAUGUCUAUUAAUAUUUAACAACCUUCAACCACUACAUAAUUUGAUCAAUAAUUCAGAUGCACAAGAUCACUCAAGUCUUGAUUAACGAUUGUUACUGAUAGGUGGGAUAAUUAACUAGGCAAAGUAAUCAAAAUUAAGCAAUAAUUAAAUUUCCCUAACAAAAAAGUUAAACCAAUCACAGAACCAUAAAAGUCAACCACAAAAAAGACCUCACUAAACCCUGUGAUUCUGAGAGUUCUCCCUUUAAUCACUUCUAAAACCUACAAAACACUCAUAAACACUUCCAAGAGAACACCAAAUGGGACAAAGUACAAAGAAGACUGAAGAGAGGCUUACAGAGAAAGGGUUAACUUCUUCUUCAUCAAAAGGGUUAGGAUCGUACCGACCAGCCAUCACAGAAAGCAGAAACCAAGGUGAAGAGAGACUCCAAAACCACCAAAAAAAAAAAAUUCAAACUUCGAACAGAGAAAGUGAAAGAGAGAAGGCGAGAAGGAGCUUAGGCUAAGGCUUGUUGGGAAGUCAAGGAAGCAAAAUAUUUGAAAUAAAAGAAAUGAAAUGUUAAGGUAGACAAAGACAACAAAGUCAAAAAAACCAUACAGUUCUAGAGAGAGAGAAUUGUCUCUGGUCAGCUUUUUUAUAUAUAUAUAUAUAUAAUUAAUAUGAAUGUGUAGAUUAGUUUUUAUAUAUUUUGACUUGAAUUAAUAAUUUUUAUAAAAUAAAUUUAAAAUUUAAUUAAUUAAAUUAUAUAUUUUAAGAUUUUUUCAGCCUUUUUACAUGUACCGCUGAUUUUUUUGUUUGUCGUAAGAAAAUGGAAUUUCGCAACGGACAAAUGAACCUCUUGUUUUCCGACAUUAUAAUAAUCUUUGUUUCUGCUGUUCGUUUUUAAUUUAUUUUAAAAAAAUAUAUUAAAUUUAUUUUUUAAAAUAUUUUUUCAUUUAAAAAUACAUAUAUAAAAAAACAAAAACAAUUGAAAUUAUAAAGUAUAUAUUUCUUUCUUUCUUUUGUUUUGAAAAACAAAUCAAUUUAAAAUUAUUACAAACUUAAAUUUAUUUUAUCUUUUUAUUUAAAUUAAUGUUUAUAUUUGUUUCUUGAAUCCUCUAUGACUAAGCAUGUUUGGAAGUGUGGUUGUGGUUACUUUUUAAAAUACAUUUCGUAUCAAAAUAUAUUAAAAUGAUGUUUUUUUAUUUUUUAAAAAUUAUUUUUAAGAUGAGCGCAUCAAAAAGAUCGAAAACAUAUACAAAAUUAAAUUUUAAUAAAAAAAUUUAAAUUUUUAUGAAAAAAAUUUAAACGGUGCCAUGUAUUUGUUUGCUGGUUGGUUGUUUUGAAAAGGAAUAAAUGAAUUUGAAUUUGAAUUUAUCAACUGAACUUUUUGUUUUAAUCUUUGUCUUGUUUUGGACAUCACUGAUGAUGUUUUUCUUAAUGGGAUUUAACUUUUAGGACAUUUUUGGAUUUUUGUUCAAUGAUAAAUAAGUCACCUCUUUUUAAUCCUUUUCAUAACAAAUAAAAUUCAUAGAAAUUUCUACUUUUUAUGGUCUAAUUUGAGAUUUGAAAUCUAGCAACCAGUAAACUUCAUUUUAACUUUGUUUAAUUUAGACAUAAUUCAUGAUUUUAAUAUGCGCAUUUAUGCCUCAACCAAGCACUGAGUUUUUUUUUAGUAGAUUAUUUUAAGAUCUCAUGAUGUUAUAUUAUGCUCACAUUAAUUAAUAUUUAUGAAUAAGAAAAUGUGUAUUUGUGUUUGCACACCUAGGCAAUGACAUGAUGUUUGAGGGUUUGGUAAAAAUUAUUUUUUAAAGCAUUUUUUAUUUAAAAAUAUUUUUUAAAAAAUUCUUUUUUUUAAUAUCAUAUAUCAAAAAAUAAUUAAAUAUAUAUAAAAAAAUAAUUUUAAAAAAAAUAUUAUUAUGACCUAUAGAAAUGGAGAUAGGCAUGACAUAUGAAAUGAUGUUUGAGAGUAUGGUAGAUGUUAUUUUUUAUUUGAAAAUAUAUUAAAAUAAAAUAUUUUUGAAUGUUAUUAUAUCAAAAACAAUUUUAAAAUAAAAAAAAUAAUUUUAAUAAAAAUAUUAUUACAACUCUUGGAGAUGAGGACGGGCAUAUAGCGUAGCAUCAAGAAGGUGCGAAGAAGAAUAGGAAGGAGUCAAUAUUUGUUUUUAAGAAUUGAAUACAACUUUCCAAACCGUGUUUUUUGAAAAAUAAAUAAAAUUAAAGGCUCUAAAAUGAGGGUUGAAUUCAAAGUUUGGAAUGCAGUCUGAAUCUUCUGUGUGCCUAAUUUGAAGCAUUGGGUCAAUACUAGAGCCGUGUCUAGACUAUAGAGAGAAUAAACCCCGUGCUUUUCCAUAGUUAAUAUAAAAUCAUUCACCAAGCAAUUUAUUUUAAAAAAAAAUGAUACAGUUUCACUUGAAGAGGCCUCAAAUAAUUCUUAAAAAUUCAUUCAUAAACGUUAUCAAAUGAUAACAGUUUAAAUGUUUGGAUUGAAAUUUUAAUUUACACUUUUUGAGUAUUAGUGGAUUCAACUCUUAAUUUCUCAAAUUAAUUUAGAGUAUCAAAUUCAAAUUCAAAUACUAAAUAAACAACUAGAAAAUAAGAAUCACAUAUAUAUAUAUAUAUAUAUAUAUAGAGAGAGAGAUAAAAUCAUACAAGUUCUUGCAUUAGUGUUUCAUUGUAGAUUCACAUAAUAAAAUUAUUUUAAAAAAAAAUUAUUUUACUCUGAUCCCUCAACUUAUUUUUUUUAAUUAAUUCUUUAAAAUUACAUUUCUUUGAAAUUGUUUGCGGUGGUUUGUUUUCACGCCUACAUGUGGGGGCUUUCUAGUAUCAAGACAAUAUUAUAAUGCUCGGUUGAUGCUCAGUUUAGUAAAAUAAAAUUUAAUUUUUUUGAUUAAUAAGAAUUAGAACUUCAAUUACUGAAUUCAAAGCAUGAACAAAUAUUUAGUCUCUUUUCCUUGUCAAGAUCAGGAUUGCUUUGUAUGUUAAAUAAAAGUGUUUUUUUUUACACUCAACUUUUUUUUUUUAAUUUAAUCCUUUCACAUUGACUUUAUUUAAAAUUUAACUUGGUAGUUUGUUUUGGUUGUCUAGGUAUUAAGCUUUUGCAAUAUCGAUGGAAAAGUUUGGUGCUUUGUGAAAACUAUAUUUGCUAUAAAAAAAAAAAAAAAAAAGAGCUAGUGUUAAGGGACCACAACUAUGGUCCCUUUAAGUUGGGUGCUUGGUUUCAAUUGUGAUCUCUUAAAUGUUAAGGGACCACAAUUGAAACUCAAACAAAUAUAGAGACUAAAGUAAAUAAACAGGACAAAUAGACUAAUGCAUGUACCUUAUGCAUGAGUGAGUGAGAGGCUUUUAUGAUAUUUAGGCAACAUGUGAGGCAUAACUAAGCAGCCAAAUAGUGGCUUCCACGGUGAUGUUGGAAGCGCCACUUUCAUGCCUUUGUAGGUGGUGUGACGCAUGUACGAGGGGUUGUGGCCGUUGGGCUUUAAUGAGUGUUUUUUUUUAUUUUUAUUUUUUUUUCUUAUUUUAUAGAAUUGUACUAGCCUGCAAAGAUUCAGAGAUGCCCAGUUAUUUGUUAUUUGUAUUAAAUAUGAUCAUAGUUUUUUACUACUAUUUACUUUGUCUUGAAUCCUUUUUUUUAUUGAUUUAUUUUUCAAUUCAUCUAUUAGCAGUUGGUUUUAUUUAAUUUUUAUAUCAAAUUUUAUUUUUAUUUUUUUUAUUGCUCUUUGUUUCUUUUUUGUCCUUUUCUUAAUUGAUUUUUUUUUUAAUUUCAUCCCUUAACAUUUAAUUUUAUCUUUUUAUGUCAUGUUUGGUCAUCAUUCUCUUUAUUAAUAUUUGGUUUUCAUGUUUGGUCAAAUAAGAAUCACCUCUUAAAAGUUCAAGCUUUUAUAUAUAUAUAAAAGCUUGAACUUUUAAGAGGGUUAUAUAUAUAUAUAUAUAUAUAUAGAAAGAGAGAGAGAGAGAGAGACAUAUACUAAUACAAGUUCUUGCAUUAGUGUUUUAUUGUAGAUUCACAUAAUAAAAUUAUUUUACUUUGGUCCCUCAACUUAUUUUUCUUUUAAUUAGUUCUUUAAAAUUACAUAUUUUUUAAAUUGUUAGUGGUGGUUUGUUUUCACGCCUACAUGUUGGGGCUUUCUAGUAUCAGGACAAUAUUCUAACGCUCGGUUGAUGCUCAGUUUAGUAAAAUAAAAUUUAAUUUUUUUUAUUAAUAAGAAUUAGAACUUUAAUUACUGAAUUCAAAGCAUGAACAAAUAUUUAGUCCCUUUUCCUUGUUAAGAUCAGGAUUGCUUUGUAUGUUAAAUAAAAGUGUUUUUUUUUACACUCAACUUUUAUUUUUUUUAAUUUAAUCUUUUCAUAUUGACUUUAUUUGAAAUUUAACUUGGUAGUUUGUUUUGAUUGUUUAGGUAUCAAGCUUUUGCAAUGUCAAGGGAAACAUUUGGUGCUUAGUCGAUACUCUAUUUUGCUUAAAAAAAACAAAAGGGCUAGUGUUCAGGGACCACAAUUAUGGUCCCUUUUAAGUUUGGUGCUUAGUUUCAAUUGUGAUCUCUUAAGUGUUAAGUGUUAAGGGACCACAAUUGAAACUUAAAUAAAUAUAGAUACUAGAGUAAAUAAAUAAGGUAAAUAGACUAGUGCAUGUACCUUUUGCAUGAGCGAGUGAGAGGCUUUUAUGAUUUUUAGGCAACAUAUGAGGCAUAAUUAGACAACCAAAUAGUGGCUUCCAUGGUGAUGUUGGAAGCGCCACUUCCAUGCCUUUUUAGGUGGUGUGGCGCAUGUAUAAAGGGUUGUGGUGAUUGGAUUCUAAUGAAUUUUUUUUUUAUUUCUCUUUUUUUUCUUUUUUUUUAGGGAAUUGUGCUAGCUUGUAAAGAUUCAGAGAUGCCCUGUUAUUUGUUAUUUGUAUCAAAUAUGAUUAUCGUUUUUUUAUUACUAUUUAUUUUAUCUUGAAUCCUUUUUUUAUUGAUUUAUUUUUCAAUUCAUCUAUUAGUAUUUGGUUUUAUUUAAUUUUUAUAUCAAAUUUUAUUCUUAGUUUUUUUAUUGCUCUUUGUUUUUUUUUGUCCUUUUCGUAAUUGAUUUUUUUUCAAUUUCAUCCCUUAAUAUUUAAUUUUAUUUUUUUUGUCAUGUUUGGUCAUCAUUCUCUUUAUUAAUAUUUGUUUUGUUUUUUUAUUUAUUUUUUUAUUUUAUCCAUCAAAAAAACAUAAUUAAAAAUUUGACUUUAUAGUUUUUUCCAUAAGCUAGUGUCAGCUCUAUACCUAGGUCAUUGGUCUUGAAGAAUAGCUUCAAUUGACCUCAAUUAUUUUUAAAUUAUUUUUUAAUUUAAAAUAAUUAACAAUAGUUGGAUUGUUGGGACUUGAGUAAAUGUUUUUAGUAAAAUAAUUGUUAAUACAUGUUUACUCUAAUCUCAAUAUUUGAAUUUUAAAGAUUAAGUCCUUUUAUUGUUUUUUUAUUAUUUACAUGAUUAUUACGAUCUCAUAACUAAAACCAUUCUAAUCCUUCCUAAUAGGUUUGCACAAAUUAGCUAAGAUUUUUUUUUUCAAAUUAUAUUUUUAAGAUUAAAUAUUUUCUCGCUUUAUUUUUUAAUAUUUGAUUUGUUAAAGCAUGUAUUAAAAUUGAUUUGUUAAAGCAUGUAUUAAAAUUAAUGUGGUGUAAGCAAGUUCCUUUUAAAACUUUUUUUACCGCCAUCAUUACUCACAGAGCUUGAGCAUUCGUCGUUCCACUAUUCGGAAAGAGAAGGCAUUGGCCAUUGUCAAUUAUCUUACAAGGAUCAAUUGUCUUGAUUCUAGGUGGGGCCUUGCACGCUUGAGGAGAAUCCGGUAAUGAUUUAGGUUUUCCUUAUAGCUUACGAAUUCCUAGUUUAGUUUUGAGGAUCUGCCAUUUUUUUAGUAAACGUUCAAAGUUUGUACUUUUUUUUAUUGGAUACAAGUCAUUGAACGUUGAAUUUCAUCUAUGCAUAUAUCAUAAAUUUGCAUAGUUUUGGACAGAAGAUGGCCUGUCAAAUUACCUAGUAUAUGUAUGAUCUGGUGAUGUUGAACCCACUUGCAGUCAUAUUUACUCUCAGAAAUCCUAAUGGAAUCAUAUGGGGUGAUAAAUUAACACGGAUGAACAAUCGAACCAUCUCCGGCGAUAUACUGUAUAGCUGCGAUGGCAAAGCAUGUAUUCUUGCUGCAUAAAGCCAAAUGCUGAGCAUAGAUUCAAGACUCAACCCACCAGAACCGAUGAAGUAUACACAACCAAUCUCUGCAUAAUCACCACCAGAAAUGUCCAACGCACUCAGAAUGCCUUUUAGGGAUCUUCCAUUAAUGGCUAUUACAGGAGGAGAAACUGCAGCAAAAUGCAGAAGGCAACGUGGAUCGAAUAGAUGUGGAGAAAAUAACGCAACAUGGAAGCAUUUUCUGACCUCAGAGCUUGACAAAGAGGACGAGACCAUAACCAGUUUGCUGCUGGAAGUCCACAGACUAGGUAGGCCAUUGCGUGGAACACAACUUUUGUUUCUACCCCACCCCUACCAUCCGCAAAGUUCAGCAGAUACGGCAUUUCAAAAAAGACAUUCAAUCCUAAAAAUGUUGAGAGAUGCCACAUUCAGCAACAUUUUCCAAUGGUCAUCUAUUUCAUCUACGAAGGGGUUUUACUUAAUUCCAAAGUAGAUUACUACAAUAAGGACCUGCUGCCAUGAGGAGAGAAUCUUAAAUACUCAAGGAAAGUGGAAGCUACAAAAUCCAUGAUAGGAAGAGAACCAGAAAACCUAUAGAAGAGAAGCAAGUACAGAUAAAACAGGACAAAGCUAGAGGAACUAGAAGUGGAGAUCAGAGACUUGGUGAAUUGUGCUGCAGUACGGCAGACCUUAAAUUUCUUCCCCAAAAUAACUCAUUGUUCAUCUAUAGGUGAUACACAAAGGAAUCUAUAUGCCUUGAAUUUGCAAAAUUGGAGCAUCAAGUAAUGAAUUAAUUAUGAGCAUCAAUAGAAGCUAGGACUAAAUCACACGUAUAGAUAAGACUGUGUGUGUAUGAUGUAAGAUGUAGAAGACUAAACUAGGGGUUAUGCCGACGGUUAAGCAGUCUUAGUUUUCUAAGAAAAGGAUCGACCCAAUUUUUGUCCUCCUUUACAGCUUGAUUCCAGCGAUCCUUAAAUAUUUGAAGCUCCCACGUUGAUUGCCUUCUAAUCUGAUCAGUCCAUUAAAAGAAAACCACAGUUAAUCAAAUUACUGAAAUGAUAGCAUAGUUGCAAAGUAAACAGUAUUAGACCAUGCUUGAUAUCAGAACCUACUAUUCUAUCAGUUUUUAAUAGCCGAAUAUUAGUUGCAGAUCUCAACAAAAUUAGAAUCAGCCAAAGAGCAUAACUUGGAGAACAUGUAAACAAUCAAGGUAGCAAUCCUAGACUACUUGGCAGCUCUUCUGCCUGUUGCAGGCAUUUCAUGUCAAGUAGAAUAGAAGUAUUUAAAAUGCUCAAAACAUAGACUAGAGGACUAUUCUCACCUCCAUCCUAGGAUCCAUGCCUGUAGCACUGUGUCUCUGAAAGUCAGGAGAGAAUAAAUCAAAAAAGAGAAGGUAAAAAUUAUAGGAAUUAAUUGAUGCAGCUACAAUAUAGCAUUGAUGAAAAAAGAUCUUCUAUUACACCGAGUAUAGUUUACCUUAGUCAACUCUUCUGUAUUUGACGCCUAAACAGAGAGAGAGCACGAUGAUAUUAAUAAUAGAAAAUAAUAAGCAUGUGGACAAAAAACAUCUAAUAAGAAAAUAACUGUAAUUCCUUUUCUUUUCUUUUUUUUCCUUGAGAGAAAAAGGCGAGCAGGAUGACCUUUCUUCCAGGGGGUCCAUGCCCACCCAGAGUUUGUAUGCCCUUGUGAACAAUAUAUUCACUAUCAACAACUCCCACCUUCUUCGUGCGAUCUCCCUGUAUAAUGCCACAUCUAUCAAUGCUAUCAUAACAUUCUUUUCUACAUUCACAAGUAUACAUGGCAAACAAGAUAAAGAAAUAGAUAAAACGAAAAGGUCAUCAAGCAUUAAAGUACAUGAAAAUAGGGGUUUGGUUCUAUAUUGAAAUUUGGUAAACGAUGGUUAAUAAUUAUUCUAACAAAAAGGAUCAGCGAGUUACCUUGUCGGCACACUGACUUAUUUAUAUCUGCAUUUACUCUCAAUUCCUAAUUAACAUAAAAUGAUUUCCUUCUAGUGAAAAGGUGCUAAGUCCCUAGGAGGCAGAAAAAAGAAAAAGAUCAACUUUUCCAUCCUAUCUUAUGGAAAUGGUCUUUGCCAGUGGGUUACAGUGAGGGCAUGGCAAGAAGAUUCUCUAGUGUGCUAAUGAUUGUUGAUAACCAUAAAAUUCUUCAUCCAAAACCACUCAUAAUCCAUCACUCUUCAUGAAAUUUUCUUACAUUUUCCAUAUCUACUUACAUAAUUUUUAUGCUGCUUCAUGAUACCACAUUUAUUUGGCAAUAGCCAUACCUCCUGCAACCUUUCCUACUACUAUCUUAGUUCUGAAAAUAACUCUGUUAGCAGCAUUGAGCCAAGAAUUGAGGGGGAGGAAAAUAGUCAGAGAAACUGAAAAUAGUCCCAGAAAUAUCAUGUUCGACAUACCUGCGCACAAUAUCCAAGUUUCAUAUCCAUUCCCCAUCCAUGGACUAGAUCAUUCUGGAAAUUAAAAAAAGAAAAGAAGUUCCAUGAUGUGUUAAUCAACCUUAAGGCAAAAGUGCACUUAAUUUGCAAUCAUGCUAUAGUGGGUAGAGUAGAGCUUAACCGUAUGUCCAUAUAUUCCACCUAACAAAAGUGAGUUAUAUGCAAUGCACCAUUUAUUUAUGGAAAGUGUUUUCUUGGAAAAUAUUUUCCUUGCUUUCCUAGGUUUGGUGCAGCUAGGCAAAAUGAGUCAAAGGAACUCGUCAGGAAAAUAUUUUCCACAUACCUGCCACCUCAUCAGAAAACAACUCAUCUUUUCAAACAAUAUUCCCCAUAGAAUUCUUUUUUUUUCCAAAAUCAAUUUGUUUUGCUGCAAGCAAACAAGGCCUAAAUCCUAAAUGCUUCUCAACUAAAUUUCACACAAGACAACCUGCUUAGACUAGAGCAUCAAAUAGCAAGUCCAGAGGGGAUCGAUGGCUUAUUGAUAGUGUUACAUAGAGAACCUUUUUUUAACUAGAACAAUCAAAACUUAGAUUACCUGUAUAAGAUGCCAAGCACAGUACCAAGCAGAUCUUGAAAAUACUGGAGCCAUACCCUCCACAAAUCUACAGAUGUGACAUGGAUAAAAUUAGGAUUGCUACAAUCCUUACAAGAACAAUAAAGUACAUCCUUCAAUGGGUAUCACAAGUAUUGAAGUUCCAUGAAAAAGAUGAACUCAAGGUGUAGCUUCUCAAACAGUCAGUAAACAGAACUUCUAGUACUAUUUGACAGAAUAUUAGAUUAUUCACCAAAAAGCUUUUGUUAGGUAAGGCCUCGAGAUAUGAUUUAUAUAAUUUUCUAACAUGUCAUUUCAAGUGAAAACUUUUUGAGUUUGAAAUUUACAGACGCACACUACCUUGGAUUUAAUUUUUAUCAAAUAGAAUGGAAAUGGUGAGAUUUGAACUUGUGACCGCUUGGUCAACAAGGUUGUGAUACCUUAUCAAAGAACCAACCCAACCUAAAAACUUAAAUUGUUAGAUGAGGCUCCAAAAUAUGAUUUAUAUAAUUCUCUAUCAGUCAACUUUUCAAAAAUAGAAAACCAAAAGAAAGAAAUGAUGUUUAGGUUAAAUAACCGAAAGUUAGCCACAAAUGAGGCAGUAACUGAAAUAAGUAGAAGUCAGAAACAUAGGAUUGCACCAAAUUGUAAAGAGCAAACAACAAGACAUAUCACAACUAGAGGAAUGCAAUAGGUUACCCAGUGCAUGGUGGCCCCUCACUGACAUCAGAACAUUUGGUGCUGCCUCUGCGUUCAUAAACUCUUCUGCUCAUGGUAAAUUAUUUUGUAUAAGAGUUACAAUUGUCUUCAGAAAUUUUAAUUUAGUAAAAGCCAUGCCAUUCACCUAUGAAACUUCUUUGUUCUGGCACGAAUAGUAAUUCUAUGAUGUAUUUCAGUUGAAUUUGGGUCCAGAGCUGGCUGAGAUAUCUCCAGGCCUUCAUAUCUCACAAUUUUCAGGUAUCUAGACAAAAAUUAAAAGAAAAAGGAAUUAUAAAUCAAUCUUGUUUUUUAUGACAGGGCCUGAGCCUAUUCACACUUAUGUUCUCAUAAAAAAGAAUUUCAAAUCAAGUAAGAGUAUGGAAUUGGUUAACUCCGACAAUCCUUGGUCUCUCUCCUAAAUCAUGUAAUUCCAAAUUGUCCUAGAUAUAAUAAUCCUAAGAUGGUUCACCAAGUAAAAUAAACCGUCUUAGUAUGAACAUCCUCAGCAAAAGAGAAUCCUGUUCCAGCAAGAGUUUGGAGAGCAGAUUAAAUUCUAGUCAUUAACAAUCCAAAAGACAUGAUAAAAGAAAGACAAAAAUUGAAUCAUGGAUAUCUAUAAAUGAGUGGUAGAAAAUAAUAAAAAUGGGAAUGAAGAUGAGAACAAGCCUAGUAGUUUCUAAUAAAUUGGAGCACUGAGAAGGUCCUAAUUGAUUAAUGUUUGUCAGACAUAGCUAUAAGUCACAAGUUUAUAUUGAAGUGACAAAGGGAAAACAUAAAGACAACCCAUUACCAAAAGCUGGCAUCAUAAACAUAUGUAGGAGAGAAAUGUCCAGCAAACUAACCUCCCUGGAUUAAAAUGCUCUACCCCCAGAUCUUCAUCCCAUAGAAAUAUGUAAUCAUAAAUAGACACAACAGCUGGAUGCAGAAAGCGUUUUGCAAACCACCUGAAAAGCAAAGAAAGUGAGUCUCUUUUUAGAAAAAAACAGGAAUAAUCCAGGAAAAAAAAAGAAGGAAUGUCUUCUUUUCAUGAGAUUAACCCACGAAAUCCUGCCUCCAUCUGAACUUCGAGGCUAAAUGAUUUGUUAAUCAUCCGUUUAAACCAUACAAAGAAAGGUGGUAAAAAGUAACCAGAAAGGAAAUUAUCAAGGUUGAACUCACCACUUCGUUUGGUUCUUAGCAGCUAUGUGUAUGACUUCAUUACUCCAGUCUAGAUCCCACCACCCAUCCACUUUGCCAUCAUAAUGAAAUAGAAUAACUGUAAAAUUCUCUGGAAGAAACUGAAUUCAAUGAUAUUAGGCAAGAAAUGUUCAGUUGAUGAAACAAAAACAUUAGACAAGACUGUGCAAUACCUUUUGGACAAUACGAUUGACAUUAUCCUUUUGCUUGAUGCCAACUGGAAUUGCCAGCAAGAAUCGACGGGUAGAAGGAUCAGCCUGCAUUUGAAUUCCAAUUUAAGUCAAGAAUAACACUGCAUACAUGUUCAGUGUUGUUCCAGCACAAGAAUCAAGCACUAUUAUAUAAAUAAUCCAGAUUUAUAUGGUCAUAAACAAGAACAAAUUCUGACACGACCUUGAAUUGAUGGCACAGUUCAAACUUCAAAGGGAUAAAAAAACAACCUUCGACCUUGAACUACUUGUUGACCACAGAGGCUUCAGCUCCAAAUCUGAGCUAGCUCGUAUAAUACCAUGAGGCAAACCAACCAACAGACCAGAUGCCAAAGCAGAUUCCUAUGUCAAAGCACCGGAAGCAUCUUGAGAUAAUGAUGAAAACAGAACAAUUUCAGUACUUUGGAAUUUUAAUUGGUAGUUCUGAAAUUACCUUCAAUGAGUCAAAGGGGUACAAUUUUUCUUCCAUCUGACAAUGGUGGAGAAAAACUAGUCAGCAAGCUUUCACCAGGAUGUGAGAUAAAAUGGUAAGAGUUCAACAGAAGCGGCACCAUUAAAACACACAGCUAGAGCUGAACCUAUUUUCUAUGUGAAAAAUGCAGCUUAACCUGUACCUAGAGGUAAAUACAACAACAGAAAAGCUGUAGAUGGACCAGCAAAUGACACAAGAAGUUAUUGAGAUUCUGGACUUGACCAUACUAAGUUACAUUUCUUUCAGAAGUUUGAAAUCAUUGUCACCAAUUAUCUUCUAUAUCAUAAAUAUUGGAAUUAAUGCCUUCAUGAACAAAAAACAAAUCAUCAAAUCAUUCACCAGAAGAGAAUUAAGAGCACAUUUUGGCUACUUGAUUGAUACUUGUAAGUUAAAAUAUGUAUAGACUUGAUGGGAUUUCCAUACUUCUGUGUGUUUAUAUUGAUAUGUUGUGGUUCUAUACACAAUGAACAACAUUGUUGUAAACAAAAAUCCCAUAAACGGCAGCUGCUUCAUCUUUAAUCCAAAUUUUACCUGCACCAAGACGACAAAAUUACAUCUUAGAUGAUUACCAAAACAAAGGCAGAUUCUGUAAAAAUUCCACUUUCUUAGAUGCAUCCAAUACUGAGAAGCUUAAGUAUCGUAUGUCAUACCCCAUCAAAGUAGUUCCUUUUUAGCAGUUUCCAUGAUCUGAAUGACGUCAUGGACAGUCAAAGCUUUUACAAUGUUCUCAUAACAAACUGCAGCCAAUGCACAAAAAAACUGAGACCAAUAUCAGAAGCAGCCCUGAUCAAAUGCUACAACUUUUCCAGUAGAAAAAAUAUCUAUGGUGAAAUGUUUGCAAUUUCACUUUUGGCAUAAGAUUAAGUUCUAGCAUGAUCAAAAACUCAACAAACAAUUGUGUAAGCUGUUUUAGCCCAAUUUCUUAAUUAAGAAAGAUUCCCAGAAACCCCCUCUAUUGACUAUUGCUCAAUUUUGAAGAACCUUUAAUAUUCAUACUCUCUUUCGGCAUAUAAACCUCAAUUUUCACAUUAACCUUAAUAAAAGGUCAAAAAUUGUGUGAAACAAACUUGAAUUGGCAACCCAAAAUACCCAGAAAGAGAAAUGGAAAUUAAGUUUGUAGUUAGUUAGCUUGAUUAGUUGCAUGCAUGCGAUGUUAGUGAAAUGCAAAGAAAGAAAGCUUAAACCUUUACUGAUCAACUUGUUAUUAAUGCUAACAUAGAUUAUAUGAACUAUAGAUUUUUGAAAUAUCUACUUAAUCCCACAAGGAAAUAGGAAAUUUAACAACAAACACUGAAUAAAGACAUUCCCUCUUCAAAAACUUACCAAAUAAACUGGUCAGAUGAUUUUUUUUUCUUUUUCUAAAAAAAAAAAAGAAACGAAUCUACUUUCAGCGAAAAAGCAGAGUCUUUUGAUAUUCAUACCUGGGAAAUCUAUAGAUAACCCAAAAAGAAAGUUUCAGAUCUCGUAAACAGAGAAAACACAAAUUUCCAGUUUUAUCAAAUAAUUAAAAAAACUCUCAAACUUUCAAGAAAAAAAAAACAGAGGAUUCAGCAGCAGCAUUAUAGCUAUAAGACUAUAGCUUGUAAGGAUUAAACGGAGAAGGAAGAGAAGAUGACAAACCUUGAAAUAGAAAAAGGGUGUAAAUCGGCGAGAGAAAGCACCUGGUAAUACAGAGUACUAAUAAUCAAAAUGAAGCAAUCUUACGGGAAGCAGACAAAUUUUGGUGCGUCUGAUUCCGAAGAUCUUGAAACAUCAGAGAAGGUAGUGUGAUGGAGGGGGGAGAGAGAGAGAGGAAAUGAGAGGUUUACAGAGAGAAUCGAAGAGAUUAACGUGUAAGAAUCACCGUACUUCUCUCAUUGUCAAUUCUCAGGCAGCACAGUACCACACCACUUUGUUGUUUAAUUUGUUUUUAUUAUUAUAGUAAUAAUGAUAGUAAAUGAAUAAAAAUAAUUCUUUUGCAUGCCGUGUUUUGGGGUUUUGACGUGUUCGGAAGAUGAAUUUCAAAGAGACGGUGACAGAGAUUUGUUUUGACCUCUCACCUGUUCAAAUCUUGACUUAGGCAUUGUUUGUUAACCAUCACUUUUCACAAAAAAAAUUAUUUUUUUAAUAUAUUUAGAUUAUUUUUAAUAUAUUAAUAUUAAAAAUAAAUUAAAAAUAAAUUAAAAUAAUACUAUUUUUAUAUAUUUUUAAUAAAAAAAUAUUUUUAAAACAAAUAGACCAUUAUCAUAAUAUCAAAUAUUAUCUAAAUGUUUCUUGUUUAUGCACCAUUUUGGAUUACUAUUGAAUCAUGAUUUUGUAAAUUUUUAAUUUAAAAAAAUAAUUUUUAUUAUUUUAAUAUGUUAAUAUUAAAAUUAAAAAAUAUAUAUAAUAUAUUUUAAACUAAAAGAUAAUGUGAAUCACGAUGAUAAACAUAAACUUAGAUGGUUCGGGAACUUAAUUGUUGGAUUUUGGGGAAAAUAUUUAUUAAUCUCUUUAUUUGACUUUCGUAAUUGAUUUUUACUUUUUUUCAGUUUGUGAAAGUUAAUUUUUAUUUAUUUUUAGUUUGUGCUGGAUGAAUCAUUGUUUUACUACAUAUGGUGCAGGAAGGAAAGAUUUAGAGACUCGGUGAUCUAUUUAUUUAUUUUUAGGGGUAAGUUUAAGAGUUAUGAUAUUUUCAAAAAAAAAAACAAUUGCAUGCCAGUAUUAGAUUUUCUUGUUUAUUCACAUCUCAACAUAUUUUUUUAUAUAUAUAAAACAACUUUAUUCUCUUUUAAAUUUUAGACAUGAAGCAGGGGUGGGCAAAAAAAUCAAAAAACCGAUUGAACCGAAAAAAUCAAACCGUAAACAAAAACCAAUUAAAUUGAUUAGAAUUUUAAAAAAAAACCAACCGGUUCAGUUUAGUUUUUGUUUUAUAAGCCUGAAACCAAAAAAUCAAACUGAAUCUAAACCGAAAAAAACCAAGCCAGAAAACUAAGCCAGACAGGAAAAAAACCAAACAAAACCAAAAAAACAGAGUUAAACCUGAAAAAUCGAGUCAAACAAGUUUUUAUUUUAAAAAACUAAAAAAAAUCAAAACCGGUCGAUUUUAGUUUUUUUAAAAAAAAUAAUUUUUUUAUAAAAAUCAAAUCGAACAAAAAAUAAUCACCAUAAACAUGAAAAAAUAGUCACCCUUGACAUGAAGAAUGCCCCUAGUUUACCCCACACCUCAUAAAGAAUAACAUGAGAAAACUCAUUUUUUAUAUAUUUUUAGAAUGUUAUGUUAUAGAUAAUAAGGUAAAUUACAAAAAACCAUUCUCUGCUAUUAAAAAAUACAUGACCAUCUAAAAGAGCUUAAAGUUUUUACAUAAAAAUCUUCUCCAUGUUUAAAAAAAAGCUACAAAAAUCCUUUUCUAUAUCCCUCUAAUAGUUUUAAAUGAUCCUCUUUAACAAUAAUAAUAAAAAAACAAUUUAGAGCACAAAAGAUAUUUUGGAUAUAAAAUAUUUUUUUGUAAUAUUUUCAAAUAUUUUUAUAGCUUCAUAAUAUUUCAAAAGAGUUAUUGUAAUAUAUCCUAAAUAAUAUAUAAGAAAAAAAAUACCCAACCAAACUUUUUUUUAUUUUAAUAUUAAUUAGAAUGUUUUAAAUUAUUUUACCUAGCAAAAUAAAAGAUUUUUAAAAAUAGAAUAGCAAUUGGCAGAAUAGCUAAAUUUGUUCUUAAAAAAAUAGUGAAAUAACACAAUUUCAACUUGUCAUGUUUUCUAGUCACAAUAUUAAUGGAUGUCACCGUUCUAAAACUCGAUAAUUUAACCUAUCAUGAAAUUAAAUCUUCUCUACUAGUGUUUUGAUAGUCUUUGCGGUUCCAAAACGUGACAUCAAUUUUAAAGUCAUGUUUUUCAAUUAUAACUUCUUUAUACAUCGUUCAAAAUUAACGGGUGAUUCAUUUAUUUUUCAAAAUAAAUGUAACUAACUUGGGUCAUUAUUGAUGAUCCUUUUUGGUGUCAUGAAAUUCAUUUUAACAAAAAAAAUUUAACGGCAUUAAAAGUAUUACAAUUAGAAUUUUGAUAUAUCUCUAUAUUUUUUUCUCUUCUUUUUUUUUUCUGCCCUUUUAAUUUUAUUAUUUAUAUUAUUAUUACUAUUAACGAUAAGUUAUAUAUAUCAUAUUACUCAAUGGGGAUAUAUAUAAAUCAUAAUACUUCACCUAUAUAUAUAUAUAUAUAUGUUAUUUCAGCAAUAUUUUUAAAUAAAUAUGCUAAUAACCAAAAAUAGCAAAAAUCUUUUGACAACAUUAAAAAGUUUCACGUGUGACCAAGUGGCAAAAUUUUGAAACAAUAUAACACAGCCAAUAGAAUAAUAAGGGCUGAUUAUGUUGGGUUUCGUGUGCAAUCUAGUACACUCUUGUCGCUACUAAAGAUUUAUUAUAUAUAAUUCUGGUGGCCCACUUUUUACGAAUUCUUUAAUCUCUAGUAAAAAACAAUUAAAAAAAAAUAGAGACAUAAUUAUCAGAAAAGCAGUGCGCCCGCGCCCGGAUCGAAAACCAGAUAGCUGUGCAGUGGUUAACUUUACUGUUCAGCCACGGUGCUGAAAAUUUGUUAUUGCGAUCAUGUAGUGCUUUUAAAUUUUAUUUUACAUUAUUCUAAUAUAUUAAUAUUAAAAAUAAAAAAAUAUUUUAAUAUAUUUUUAAUUAAAAAAAUUAAUUACCACGUCAAAAUUGUCAAUAACCAUGCUCCUAUGAUGAUGAUUGCUGCUUCACUACCCCUGUUCUCUUUAUUUUAUUUUAUUUUUUUCCUUUAUUCAUAACUUUUUACGUGAUAUAACGACACGGUGUGUAGUAUUGGUAAUAGUUAAUUGCCUGUAAUCAGCCACUAGCCGGAUUAAUUUUUAAAAAAUAUAAAUAAAAACAUCAAAAAUGUGAUGAUUUUUUUUAUAAUAUUAUUAAACUCAAUAAAAUUAAAUUAAUUUUGAAAUCUCUAGAUUUAAUUGUUUUUCUAAAUUUAAUUUUAAAUUAAAUCACGUAAAAGCUAGAUUGAAUUAAAUCAAUUAAUUUCGUAGGUUUAAAUACAAUCUUGAUGACCGAUAAAAAUAUAAUUUAGCUUUUAAAAAAGCUUCAGAAUGAUAAUUUUUAAAAAAACAAAUUGAAAUAAUAAUAGAUUUUAUCGAUCUUGAUGCCCCCACGACCUAGGUCAUGGACUCUAUUGAAUUUAAUAAAUUUUUUUAUUUUUAUAUGAUAAAAAAAUAUAUGCUCACAAAAUUAGGUACCAGUUUAAAAACAAAACACUUAUUUAAGACAAUUAGAACCUUAUAGAAAACAAAUGAAAAUAAACCACGCAGUUUAUUUCUCAACCAAUUCAAUGUUCAAAUACAAAAUUGAGAAAAAAAAAUUAAAAACAAUUAAAGGAUAAAAAUAGCAUAUUUGAUCAGCGAGUAAACUCGUCAAACCUAUGAAUUAGGUAACCCAAGCUAAUACGCCAAACUUGUACAUCGAGUUAUGGACUCCAGUGGGAUUAUAAUUUGUUUUUUUUUAAGUAUAUUUUUUAUUUAAUUAUAUGAAACAAAAAUAAAUGAUCGCAAAAUCAAACAUCAACCCAAUAUUGAGUUUUUUAAAAAACUAUGAUAACCUUAUAAAAAAAUAAAACAAAACUAAUUAUGAAAUUGAAUUCUCAAUUAACCCAAUAUUUAAGGAUAAAAUUGAAAAAAAAAACUAAAAAAAGAAGAAAAAGCUAAACUCGCCAAACCUGUGAAUAUGUCCAUGAAAUUAUAAAGUUUAAUAACAUGGAUUUUCUAUUAAUUUUUUUUAUCAAAUGAGAAAACAAGUAGACGAUUAAGUUCAAUUAAAAAAAAACACCCCACUAAACCCAUAAACCACGGCAACCUGGGUUGCCCAAGAAAAUUCACAAGCCACGCUAAUUUUAUAGAAAGGCAAAGAAAAAAAAAUCACAAAACUAAAUUAUCAAUCAUCCCAAUAUUAAAAGAUGAAUUUAAUGAAAAUAAAUUUGAAAAAAAAACAAAAGAAAAGAAAAGGCAAAACAUUGUGGAUUACCAAGUUCAAUUAUAAAAAGAAAAAAAAACACCCCACUAGACCUAUAAAUCAAGGCAACCUGGAUUAUCCCACAAAGCUUGCAAAUCACGAUAACCUCGCAGAGAUACAAAAUAAAUAAAAAAUAUGAAUUCAAACUCUCAACCACCACAAUAUUAAAAAAUAAAAUCAUUAAAAAAAUUAUAACAAAAAAAAAAAAAACACAAUGGAUUUUUAUUUCAAUCCAUAAUGCACUAGGUAUGGGUGAGAAGUAAUUCCCACACCUAAGUUUGGCACAAAAUGAAAGAAUGACAUCCAAGAUGAAAAAAAAAAAAAGCAAUAUAAACUCGGAAUGAAAGAUGAAAAACAAUAAAACUUUUAUAAAAGGGUAAGUUCAUGUGGAUUUUUUCAAUACAUUUUUUAAAAUAAAAAAUCCUAAAUGUAAAUUGAAAACAUAUUCAUGCAUAUAAUUAAAUAAAUAAAGAACCAAUGUGUAAAGAAAUUAAAAAAAGAAGUCGUUAAAUAAAUAAAGAUAAAAAAAUAAAAAAUAAAAAGAUAAACGUAGAUCAAGAUAUUUAAUAUUAUAAUACAGGUAAUUUACAUGGUUGUAUUUGAUGAAUUUAUUUAUUAAAAUCAAAUUGAAACACUUUAUUGAAUAAAAUAAAAUAAAAAUACUAUGCAAUGUUGUAAACAUUAAAAAAAAUAAAAAUAUAUUUUUUAUUGUUAAAAGUAAGUUCAAUAUAUAUAAAAAAUAAAAAAAUUACAAAUGAAUCAUACUAACAUCUUCGAAAAUUAAGAACAUCUAAUAUAAUAAAAAACUAUUUAAAAAAGGCUAAAAAAAACACAAAGAAGUAUGACAUAAACUUAAAAAUUGUUCAAAAAAGAUAUAUCAAAAAAGUUUUAAAUUAAAAAAAACCAAAACUAUAUAAAAAAAAAAUGAGGUCAGACGCUUGAACAAAGCCAAUGCAGAGGCCUUUAUUUUCUUAUGAGUUAAUGGGGCUGAUGAUAUGUCAUUCACCUCAAUUUUACUUGAAAAAAAAUAGACGACGCAUUGAUUAAAAUCCUUAUAUUCCAGCCACUAUGGUGGCUGGAAAACAGUGUGGUUAAUUUGUUUUAUUUUAAACACUUAUUUUCAACUCAAAAUACCUAGGAAACACCAUAGGAACCUUGUUAAACUGAUCCAUAACCUCUGAAAGCCAAAAAAAAAAACAUUUUAAGAUCUAAAAUCAACCUGAAACAAGAAAUCUUUUUGAACUCAGAUAUAUUGUUUAGGCACUUUCAUUGUAAAAAAAAGCACACAACUUAAACUUCUCUCAUCAUAUGUAACUAUUUGAAACAAAAGGCUAUCGUUCUGGUGGUUGAAAUCGUCACAACAACAAGUUUCUUUCUCUGGGUUGGAAUCCAAUAAUCCUCUCCCUCUCCUUCCACACAAAAAAAGACUAAAAAUGAUGAAAAUGAAGUUUGAUAUCAAAAUAAACAUUUCUAAAAUUAGAGGGAGUGAUCACCUAAUAGCUAAAAUAUAAGGGACUUAAAUGUAUUUUAUAAUUAAAUUUAAAAGUCACCAUCUAUUUUACCCGUGUUUUUCACUUUAGUCCUCUUACUUUCAAUUCAAUUAUCUCUUAAAAAACAUGCAAUUAGGUACUAUUUUGGGCGCACUUGUGCAAAGAAAAAAAUAUUAAGGUUCAAAUUUAAAAUUUUAGAAAAAAAUCAUUGCUCCAAUCGACGAUGAUUUGUGAGAUUAUGAAUAUUAAUUUCACCUACAAUAUUUUUUGCACAAGGCUUAGUUCAUGUUAAUAACUUUGUGAGCGUUUGGGAAUUCAAUAGCUUCUGUUUUGAGGUAUAUUUUAAGAAUAUGUUUCUUUUUAAAAAGCAUCAAAUUGAUUUUUUUUAAGUGCUUUUUGAUGAUUUUGAUGUAUUUAUAUAUAUAUAAAUUAUUUUAAUGUAUUUUCAAGAAAAAAAAUAUCAUUUACCAUAAUACCAAAUACAGUUGUAGUCUUAAAUUGUAAGGAAAAUUCUAAUAUUUGUUUAAAAGUUUGUGUGAUUCAAUAGUUUGGUGAAAAAAAAAAACUUCAAUGCUUUAUAUAGAGGUUAAAAUUGACUUAAUCAAAAGAAAUUAAAAUCUAAGGAAAAAAGUAAUUAAAAUAAAAACAUCAACUACAAGUAUUUCAAACAGUAAAAAUAACAUAUUCUAGCCGUAAUAUGAAAUUAUUUUGAAUCUCAACUGAUUAUAGUAUAUUAGCUUCUAUACAAAACCAGAUCUUUAAAAUUAUUUGGUGAAACUCUGACCUUAUCAAACCAUCAAAUUUAAAAUUAUGGUUGUUUUUAUUAUACUGCACAUUAAAAGUGUUGGAUUUCUUCGUGGUUUCUCUGAAUAAGCUAAGCUAGAAACUGGUAUUCAGUGGAUAACGAAAUAUAAAAUCUGAAAUAGAGCUGGAAACCAGAAAAUAAAAAGAAAAAUAAUAAAAUUAGUUCAAAUAAUAUUUUUUUAGGUCUAAUUUAAAAGUCUUCCAUAGCUAAAGCGGCCACAAACAAUAAGUUUUCAUAUAAAUAAAUUUAUAAAAUCAUCUAAUGAAAUUUAAUUUAAGUCAAAUCUAAUUAACAAAUAAAAAGUUAUACUUUUUUUUACAUGUUAUUAAUUUAGCACAAACAGAUUUUUUUAGCUGAAUUUUAUAUUCGCAGAUUCUCAACUAAUUAAUUGAUUAAUUAAUAUAUAUAUAUGUUAAUAAUUUCAGACUUUAUUUAAUUUACAAAAUUAUUACCGAUAAUUAUAAUUACAAUGAGAAAAGUUUGUUAUUACACAACAAUGGUAAAAUUAUAAAUUUAAAUCCUACUAAAAUAAUUAAUAUUCCUAAAUCAUAUGAGACUAGUGUAUAAGCUCGUGUUACAUUACUGGUCAAAUAAAAAAAUAAAUAUAAUAAAAGUUAACUCAACAUAACCCAAUUAAUUUAACUAAUAAAAAAUUAACCUGGAUGGAUGUUAAAAAACAAUUACUGGUAAAAUAAAAAAAUAAAAAAAAGAAGGAAUAAAAGGAAAAACAGUUGACUUGAUUGGUUAAAAAAUAAUUCAAAUAAUUAUUGAAAAAAUAAAAUAAAACAAAAAUAAAGGUGGGAAAAAAAGGGAGUGAAUUGGAGGGGGAGGGGGGGGUUCAUUAUUUUUUUAGUGAAGCUUUACAAAUGAUCCCAGCUUGUUUAGAAAAAAGGUAAUAAAACCAAGCCCAGCAGCAGGGAAUUAUGGAGUUUUACAGGUGAAUUAGCGCUCAACAAUUAUAAUUAAAAUUUAGCUUGGCUUUUUCUUGAUUAGUUCUUAUUGUUUAUUGAGGUGUCUAAUUCGAUCCAAAAGGCAUAAAUCUUACAAUUUAAUCCAAUCAUUUACAGUAAAAAAAUAAGAAACACUUAUUUUGAAUAUAAACAAUAUCUUUAACUCGGCUGAGUAUAUAUGCGUGUGGUUUCCCUCAGUCGCGUCCCUCGAUAAUGCUUAUAAAAUUGAAGAUCCCAUGAUUGAAACUUUGCAUGCACGUUUGACAAAAACACAAGUCUUCCACCCACCGAAUUCUCCCGCCAAUACAAGCUUCCCUGAUGACCUAACUUCACCUACCAUUAAUGUGAGUCAUGUUCUUGGUUUUAUCUAUUUUUUAUUUUAAAAACAUUAAAUUGAUGGUUUUUUAAGUGUUUUAUUUAUAGUUUUGAUGUAUUAAUAUAAAAAAUAUUAUAUUAAUUUAUUUUUAAUUAAAAAUAUUUUGCAAAACCAUCAUGUUUUGCAUUACCAAUCUUAAAGACUUGUUUUGGAGUAUAGUUAUGGUUAAUUUUUAAAAUAUUUUUUAUUUUAAAAUAUAACAAAAUAAUAUUUUUUUAUUUUUUAAAAAUUAAUUUUAAAAUCACCACAUUAAAACGAUUCAAAAUAUAAAAAUAUUUUUUAACAAAAAAAUAUAAUUAUUUUUUUUAGAACUCGCCUUUUUAAAAGCUUUGUUUUUCGUGCAAAACAACUUUUGACCCGCCCGCCCACUUCUAACCUUCCCCAGCUACUGCAAGAAAAACGUUGUGCAAAUCAAGAAUUUGAUCGAUAAUAUCAAUAGGGAACAUCCCUUCCUUGGUAGAAAUUGUUAGGAUAUUUAAACAAUGUGAGGCUUUAUCUUAUUAAUAUAUUAUUGAUAGAGCCAUGCCCUUUUUAUAAUUUAAUAGUUAUGAUUUAACCUUUCUAUGCAUAUCUUAAGGCAAAUCCGUAACACUUGCAUUUUUUAAUAACUCUUGUUGUUUAACUUGGCUUUAAAAUCAUCUGUUCGUCAAUGUCAUCACCAUGAAAGCCUUCCCAUUUAUUGGAUAUAUGUCACCAUUAAGCAUUUAUUUGUAGAAGUUGAAGAAACACCAAUUUAAUUAUGAAAAAUUGUUUUUUUAAAAAACUUUACUUGAAAAUACAUUAAAAAAAUAUAGUUUUUAAUUUAUUUUUGAAAUUUACACAUCAAAAUGAUAAAAAAAUAAUUAUUUUACUAUUCAAUUUAAUUACAAUUACAUCUCUAGGAAAUGUUUUAGAAUAUGGUAGAAAUUAUUUUUUAAAGAAUUUUUUAUUAAAAAUACAUUACAAUAAUAUUUUAAAUUUAUUUUUGAUAGCUGCACAUCUAAAUAAUUAAAAAUAAUAAUAAAAAAAUAUUAAUUUAAAAUUAUAAUAAAUUCAAAAACACAAUUGUAUCACAAUACUAAUGGUAUCAAAUACUGCCAGCAAGCCGGCAUCCUUCAUGGCUAUUUUUCAGAUCAUCAAAAUAUGGUUCCACGUAAUUUACCCUCCUUCCCUUGGUAUAUUAUUGUUAAUUAAGACUAAUCUUAAUAAUCCCUUAAUCUCAAUAAUUACUUCAUAGAAAAUCUAAUGUUUUUUUUUUUUGUAUAUAAAAUAGCUUCCUUUAAUUAAAGAAAAGUUACAUCUCAGUUUAAAAUCCAUGACUAUUGUAUAUAAUUAUAUGUAUACAAUAGUCUGAAAAGAAUUAUGGAGUGAUUUUUAUAUCUUAAUAUAUUUUUUUAGCUUCCUAACCUUAAAUUUCUAACUCCUUUAAUGAAAAAAAUAGUUGUAUAAAAUUUAAAAGGGUAUAAUUCAAAUGAUCAGGUUUUGAGUUUGUUUUUUAAAAAUUACUAAUUUAAAUAUCAUAAAUCUCACAACUAUUAAAAAUUUAUUUAAUUAUUAAUUUUAAAAUUUUAAAAAAUUAUUCAAGAUACAUGUGAAUUAACAGAACACCUACCGUUAUAUAUAUAAAGUAAUCGUAUAAAAUAAGGGAAGUGGAGGAUAUGGAUUCCUGAUCUCGUGAAGGCGAAAGCUGUGCUCUCCCACCACUUAAACCAAGAGCUUUAAAAUUAAUAAUUUUACUCAAAAUGCAUGUUGUGUCAUGGCUUUAUCCAGAUUUGUGACAGAUCCUUCCCAUCUUGAUUUGCUUAUUACGUGCAAGAAAUCAAAAGUGCCUUUUUAAUUCUAAUAGUAGAUUUUCUAUAUAUAUUUAAAUAUAUUGCUCUCGUUAGUGAAUUUCAAGAAUUUAACAGGUAUGGUUUCGAAUAGAAAUUGUUAGCAUAUUGCUUUGAUAAAACAAAAAUUAAGGAUCUAUAUAGUAUUUACUCUGGAUUCAAUUUUCAAAACCAUGAUCUAAUACACCAUCAAGUUUAAAAAAGUAAGCAGAUCCCAACUUAUUUUUAUUAAAACCGUAUUAUUAUUUAUAAUUUGCAUGCAAACUCAACCAUAAUAACAAAGAUAGAGUUCAUACGACCUGAAAGGUGUUGCGAAUAUGUUAAUGAAUCAAAGGCAAAGCAGAACUGCAAAUCUCUUAAAAAAUACAUGAGAUCAAAGAUAAUUAUUGAAAAAUAAACAAAAAAAACAGGAUUCUUUUUGUCAUGUAGUAAUUAAUUAGAUCAUGACUUACUCUGUCGAAUAGUGUACAUCAUGCAUCAGCAUAGCAAAUAGGCUAUGAAAAUCUUGUAUACAUCAACCUCGUCAAGGAACCCAGGUGGUUCCCAUGCCUGUUCUUGAUACAAACGCCAAAGAUUUCAAGAUGGCAGCUUGGAUUUGUUAUAAAAGAAUCGUUUUAAUUUAAUAAUUUAAAUUUUUAAGGAAAAUUUUAAUAUAUAAUUUAUAUUAUUUUUUAAUAUAAUUUAUUAAGUGAAAAUUUUUUAAGUUUAAAAUUUAUAUAUAUUUAUGUUAUUUUGUAUUUAUUUUUUAUCAAAUAAAUAAAAAAUAAUAAGAUUUUAAGUUGUGACUGCUUGAUCAUCAAGAUUUUAAUAUCAUAUUAAAAAAUUAUUUUAAACUCAAUAAUUUAAAUUAUUAAAUAAAAUUUAUAUUUUUUAAUAUUUAUCAGAAUUUUAGGAAUAUAUAUCAGCUAGCUUGAUGUCACACAAGUUGGUCAUCUAUCUAUUUCACAGUCUAUUCUUAAUUUUCAUCUUCCUUGACGCUUCAUUUUCAUCUACUUGGAUACAAUCAUUUAUUCCUUGCAUUGCACGCUCAUCAUUUAUUUAUUUUUGUUUCAUUUAAUAAUAAAAUUAUCUUGUGUGUUAAUUAAAAUCAAAACUUUUCUUCAAAAAAUCUCAAAUUAAUACUUAAUUCUCGUUAGUUUGAUCAUUUAUAGAAUAUAAACUUGAGUUAAGAAAAUCAAUGAAUAGAACGCACCUCAUCAACCAUGAAAUCAAUCUCUUAAAAGUUUGGGGGCUUGCUUUUAUAGCUUGGAAUGGCAUGACUGAUUUUUAUGUCCUGGAAUGGAUAAGACUGAUAUUUGUAUUUAUACACUCAGUAUAGGUAUAGAAUAUAUUUUUGGUAAAGAGAUUUGGAGAAUAUUUGUUUCUGUAUUUUAAAAGUAUUUUUAAAAAAAUUUUAAUUUUUUUUUAUUAACUUCAAAUUAAUAUAUUUUUAAUGUUUUCAAUUUAUUUUGACAUAUUGAUGUCAAAAAUAAUUUUUAUAAAAUAAAAAAAAUCAUUAACAUGAAUUUUAAUAUGAAAAUUAUUUGAAAAGUAACUGUAAUUAUAUUGUCAAACAAAUUUAUAAUUUGAACGGGAGUUAGCCGCUGAGCCCAUUCUAGCCUCGCAUGGCGGCCCCCAUCCCAUGGUUGUGAGCUGGACCUGCCAUAGCUUAUGGUAUUAUUAAUAUAAAAAAUAAUACUAUCCUUGCAUGAAAAAAACUUGUUUGUAUGAAACAAAUAUAUUUGUAAUUACAAGAAAUUUUAAUAAAUAAAUAAAAUAAUAUGUAAAGAUAAAAUUAAAUAUAUCAAGUUAAUAUUAUGGAGCUGAAAUUUCAACCAUGGGGGUUGGGAUUUUGAGCUGAAAGCUCAAAUGGCUAGAAAAAUUCCAAUUGUUCGGGCAUGCACGGAUGGUUGGAAGGCUAACCAUUUAAGCUUGGCCACAUAACUAGAAAAUUAUUAUUGUUUUAAAUACAUGUUUCAUUUAAAAAAAUAUUAAUUUAAUAUAUUUUUUACUAUUUAUUUAUUUAUGAUUCUAAUUUGUUAAUAUAAAAAUUAUUUUUAUAUAUUUUCAAUUAAAAAUAUUUUUAAAAAUCAUCUUCCGUUAAAGUUACAAACACAAACUUAAUAUCUAAUUAGAGCUUCUUAACAUAGAUUUAGAAUUGUGUCACGCUUAAUAAGAGUGUAAUAAUAAUUAUUUUUUAAAGUAUUUUUAGCUUAAAAAUAUAUUGAAAUAAUAUAUAUAUAUAUUUUAAAAAAUAAUUUUCAACUUCAAUACACCAAAAUAAUAAAAAAACAUAAGAAAAAAUAAUUUUAAAAACAAAAAUUUAAAUUCUUAAAAAAUAAAAUUUCGACGGCCUUUCCAAUCAUACUACCCGUUGAAUGAGUCCUAAAAAUAUUGGCAUAAUUACCUCUCAACAUCACAAUUUUGUAAAGCUAAGAUACCGAGAAGAUCACGCCACCAUAAGUAUCAAUGUCGAGGAAGGUUUUUCCUUAGACGAGAAAGACUUCUGUCAGGGGAAGAAGACAAAGAACAGCUAGCUUGAAAAGUAAGUGGCUGCCGUAUGGUGGCGGGUGGUGGUUAUAUUUUUGUCAGAGAGACAACCGAUAAGGUCAAUAAUCUACAUGCUCGUGAAGAAAUGCAUGUUUCCUUCAAAAUCCUGCAUCUUUAUCAACCUUCAUAUAUAGACAUUUUCACUCCUUGACAUGGCUGUCCGAGGAUGUUUGAGAAUGUAGUAGUUGUUACUUUUCAAAUAGUUUUUCGUGACGAAAAGUAUGUCAAUAAUAUUUUUUUAUUUUUUAAAAAUUAUUUUUGAUAUUAGUAUAUCAAAACGAUCCAGAAAGUACAAACUAAAUUUAAUUUUAAUAAUAAUAAAAAAAUUGAAAUUGUGCAAAAAAACAGGUUGCAGUGCAAAACAGUCACUAAAACCUAGUACUUUUAAGCAUUUGAUUGUCAGGCUGUGCACGUGGCCAGUUUCUAGUUUCUGAUGCUGUAAAUGUGAAGAAACUUCGGUAAGUUGGCAUCCACAUUUACAGACAUUCCCUUUUGUCAAGCCAUGACGUUUGCUAAAUUGUUGGGAAAUUAAAUGCCAAUUGGAUACAACUUUUAGGGUUGGAAAAUGAUUUGUGAUUUUUAUUAUGAAUUUUGUUUGGAAAUAUAUUAAAAUAAUAUAUAUUUUUUAUUUUUUUAAAAUUAUUUUUAACAUUGCACUUUAAGAUGAUAUUAAAAUACCAAAACAAAUUAAUUCAAAGUAAAAAAACUUAUUUUUUAAAAUACAAAAUUAAACGGUAUUAGGAAUCUUCUCCCUUUCCUUUCCAGGGCAAGGACACAAGUGGCCACCCUCGACUGGUUAAGCCCAACUAAAAAUGGAAUAGCUUUAGGGCUAGUCAUUCCAAUGAGGCCUAAAGGUUCUCUAGGAUCCGUUUCACAUUUGUCGGUUUUCUUUAGAUUUUAAUCAAAGCUUAAGGAGAAGCCCAGCUUCACUUUUGAUAUACUGGACUUUCGAGUGGGCCUACAAGGUAGUCCAGUUUCACAUGAGUUAUCUCGAUUGUGGCCCUACAUUUGGUGAUUUGUAGGCCCCAAUAGACCUCUCACUCCAAACAUCUAGGCCAUUGACAAGGGAGGAGGCCAACCUACGAAAAAUACUGGGCCGGGUUACUAUGGCAAAAUCCAUUUCUAGCAUACUGUGGUUUUCGCAUUCCACAGGCACUGUUUCAUUUCUUUUUUAUUGUUAUACUAUAUAGUAGCAGAACAUAUGAGGCUGUGUUACGUUGUGAGCACAUUUUUAUAGAAAUUGAAAAUUUUGAGAUUCGGGUCUUUGAUUGGGUUUAAUAAACUCGAUUACUUUAAAAAUAUAAUGAAAAAAAACAUAAAUAGUAAAUAAAGUGGAAAAAAAGCAAUGAUUAACCAUAAAAAAUAAAUUGUUAAUAUCAUAUUUCUUUGUGGACACUUCCUCACCAUCAAAAAGAAUUCAUUAAGAAUAUUCUAACAUUAUUGUAAAAAGCUACACGACAAUAUCGAAAGAGCCUACCCAAGCGCAUUGAUCUAAAAAGUAAACCAAAUAAAAUAUCUUGAAAUGAGUAUCUCAUUGUUAAAUUUAAUUCAAAGAUAAAAUUUCUUUUUUAAAAAGCUAAAUUUAACAAAGAACAGCAAAUAAAAAGACUUACGAUAAACCUAGGUCAUUUUUAAAAUUAAUGAGAAACCCAAUAGAAAGAAAAUAAAAAUAAUAAUAGUGUGCGAUCUCCGAUUAAAUAAAUUCUAAAGAAUAAAAUUAAAACAAAACAUGAGCUUAAAAAGAAAAAGAAAAAAAAAGAAGCAAAUUCAGGAAAAUAAUUUAAAUUUAAAUUAAUCUUUCAAACUCGUAACUUGCAUUCAGGCUCAAUCAAUAAGCUCAGUUCUCAAUCAAUUUAACGCUGAAGAAUAAAACCAGAAAAAAAGAGUUAAUUUUUAAAAAAUAGUCAAAGUAAAGAAAAAUUGAAGGAUGAGUAUUAUAAAACAAAUUUAGUUAAAAUAAUUAUCUCAAUAAAAUAAAUAGCAAUUAAAAAAAAUAAGGACUAGAUCUGAUAUAUAUAAAAACUAAAGGUGGAUGAAAUAAAAAAAAUAAUUUAAUUUUAUAAAUUAUUUUAAAUAAAAUAAAUAGUAAUUAAAUAAACAUGAACCAAAUUAAAAGAAAAUUAAAUUGAAAUAUUGCUUUAAAAAGUUAGAGUAGCAUGUGUGAAAAUCAAGAAGUACAAAAAAGACCAGUAGUGCCAAAUAGAAGGUCUUUUGACCACAUGUUCUGCCCAAAAAAGAAGAGGUUGCUGAAACGAUUUCAUCAUCGCCUUAAAAGCUAGUGUGUGGCUAUCAAAUAUCGCCGUGCAUGGUCUGAAGAGCGCACGAACAACACAAGACUAACAUAUGCAGUUUUUUUUUUUUUUUUUUAAUAAUAUUUAUGUUUAUUAAAUUAUUAAAUUGCCCAUUAUUUAACUUGUAAAAAAAAAAAGAACCAUGAUGAAAAUGUGAAAAAACUGGUGGAUGCAAGUUCCAUAAAUUUUAUUUUUAAAGAUAUUUUAGUUAUUUUAUUAUUUUUAAAAAAUUAAAAAUACAAAACCCACCCGAGUUAAUUAAAUCUUGCAAGUAAGGAUAAUUAAAUGAUUUUACUGUAAAAAAAGAAGAAGAAGAAGAAAAAGAGAGUAAAUCACGCUAGCAUCCUACACUGCAUCGUUGCUCGAACUUCUGGAUUGAUCAUCAAUACUAGUUGGGUUAUCUUUGCUGCGAGAAGCUGACAAAACAUCAGCUGAACCCAAAAACUCACUUUCUCCAGCACUUCAUUCCUUUCUCUUCCCUCUCCUCCCUUUUAAACUAACUCCACGUCCUGCGAAUAUGUUGUCUGACAACUUCCAUAAGCUCGGCAUUUUCUUCUCUCCAUGGAACACUAGAACUUCUGGCUUAAUCUCUAUCUCUGCAGCUGGAAAAGAAGCUGGAACUCGACAUUCAGGUUUCCAAUUUGUUCUGAUAUCCAGAGUAAAACAUUCAGCAGAUAAUCCAUACUCAGGUGUCUCUUUACUAGAUGAUUCAAUUCCAUCACAUCUCUGAAAUGGUACUGGCGAUUUGUCUGGCUGGAGUCAUAGCUGACAUGACAAUCCUCCCUUCUCUUAGCCCUGAGAAUCUCAAGUUUCGAUUCCAGUGACCAGGAACAUAACAGUUAAGGAAUCUCUACAAAUAAUACGUGAACGCAGACUGCAAUAUACCCACAGGAAAACGCAUCUGAAAACGACCCGUGAAAUCUUACCAUGUCGUCAUAGAACAAAAUAAAAUGAGCAUCAAGCAUGUUCAUGAUGAGAGUUAUGUGUUUAUGCCUUCCUAUUAACACCAAAUUUCCACGAAUCACAUACUGAAGCUCUCUAAAUUACCAGGUGUAUCUCCAAUAAAUCCAGCUCUUAACAACUAAUACCAGGCGUACAUCACUAAUGUACAACCAUCUAAACAUCAAAGAGCAAGCUCUUACGUUCAUGAUUUCAUGCUUUGGCCACAAGACUCCAAAGUGCAAGUUCUUACGAUGCUCCAAAAAAAUGUUCACUCAUGAAAGCUUAUGCCAAUCCUUCUAGCAUGAUAUUGACAGUAAAAAUGCAGGGGAAGAUGUAUAACACAGUUCUUGGACUACCAUGUUUUAUUUUAGGACAAUGAUAGAGAGCAGUUUUCUUAACAUGGAUUUAUAAGUUAAAAAAGUCUGAAACAAAACAGCAGACAUUUCACAUACCCAAUUGAGCCUUCAGAUUGUUCUAAAGCUCGCCUUAACUCUGCAAUUCUUUGAUUUCGCAGCUCUUCAAACCAAGCUCUGAGGAAUACAUGACAUGGAGUAAACAAUGUACCGCUUGUUUCAGGAAUUUAACAACGAAAAUAUAAUUGCGAAAGAACAUGCGCAAAUAAAUUUGAUCCAAAUCUUCAAUUCAAAGCAUGUGUUAGAUAAACUAGAAUUGGACAGUCCGGUAAAAAAUUUAUGCUUUUCAUUGAAUAUAACAAAUGGAGUAUACAUAUGAAUUGGCACUAAUUACAUUCAUUUGCACAAAAGAACACAUAUAGUACUGCCUAGAGGCGAAGAAUUACAAAGUGAAAUUUCCUGCGUGGUUCAGAAAGGACCAUGGUUGGAAAGAAGAGAUAAUUCGUCGUCGGCUGUAAUAGUUUCAGGUAAAGCUACUGCUCUGAUGUUUGCCUCACAAAACUCUCAAGCUGUAGGAUGCCGUCGGUAGUAGUAGUUGUAAGAACCAAUAUGACGGCAAGCAGCAGGGAGCGCCAAAACAAAAUUGCGAGAUUGACAAAACCACGUGCAAGGGGUAUCAGUUGGGCCUCUCUUUCAACAUUUUCUGAUGAAAUUGAUUUAGAUGGCACCAUUUGCUAUGACUGUUGAAGGACUAGAUUCAAUUCCAGAGCACUUUUUGUCAAUAAACCACCCCUCCUGUGCAAAAUGGACAGAGAUAACAUCAGUGACUAGGAAAACCAUUUAGCAUUCAGAUACAUGGGAAUCUAUAAAAAAAAAAGCCACGACGGAUAGAUGGAGCAGGAUCAAGAAAUUCCUGCAAAGAAAAGGACUUCUGUUUCUGUGAUAAAGCCAACAGGGUUUGCAGCUCUUUAGCAUGGAAUCCUUUUCCAUGUGCAGUGUUGGUUUAAGUUGACUGCGCAAUCAUAGCUAGAACAUAGAGAAAAUGGGGCAGGAGCGGUACUCGAGUCAAGAUAGAAUGCUUGCCUUGCUAGUGCUGGAAGAAUUUGCUGGAUCUUUUGCAGCUGAGCAAAGCAUUUGUUGCAGCAUUCUCGCCUGCACAUUAUCCAAUAAAAGUGAGUGUGCUGAAUCACACAACUUAGAUUAACAGAGCAUUGCAGUAACAGAAAAGUGUCAAGUCCAUGUAAAUAUUGACUAGUAACACCUUUGGUCUGCAUGAAGAUCAACACCAACAACUGGAGGUGCGGAAACAGCUGAUUGUAUUACCGGGCCAAAAACCGCUACAAGCUUCAGUAGCAUCUCCAAUGAGAUAUUUGCAUGCCUGUAAAUUAACAUUUUAAGUCAAAUAUCUUCAAGAGUUUUCUUUGAGUUCCAGAUUUAGUGCCAGUUUUGAGACAGUUACAUUUCCCUCUGUGGGAGUACAUGGUCCCUCGAUGAGAAUUAUUCAUAAUUUGAUGAUGGUCUGGCACUAAAUCAUAUACUCUAACCUACCUUAAAACCUUAACCAAUUUCACACGCUAAAAACUAUGCAAUUGUUCUCUUCCAAGUGGACUCCAGGGACCGCUUAUUUAUAACUUAAAAAGGAAGAAAAUAGUUCUUCAAUAGUAGAAGUAACAUAUUGAGUUUGUUCAUAUUGAAGCUCUAGUUAUGUAGCACACCAGAUACCAUAGCUGUUUUUGUACAAGUUAAAUUAAGUCAUACUUUGCCACUUCUAAAGACAAAACUGGAUGGUAUUUGUAAAGGACUGCAGUAAAAUGGUAUAAAGUCCCAAAGACCAUAUCUAGCAUUAAAAGUAUUCUUACUAUAUGCCCCUGAAAGCUACCUUUCCAUCUUGCUGUCUAGUAAGCCCACAAGCACAGGAAGCAAGCAAGAAAAUAAAUCUAAAUUGAGAAUCUCCAUUUUGUCCAUGAAAACACUGAUCACAUCUGCUUGCACCUGCAACAAGAUUAAAUAAUAUCAAUGUGCAAGAUAUACAGCCUUGCAGACUGUCAUUAUCAACACAAAAAUCAAAUGGCAUGAACCAUUCCCAUAAAUACCCACAGAAUAAUCUGGCAGUUUCCUCAAGGCAUUGACAGCACCUUUAAUGUCACUUCGUUCCCAAAAAUGUCGAAUCACCUGCAAAAUAACAUCAGAGCUACUAUUUUAGCGACUUUGCCUCUCCCCAUCCCACCCAAAGGAAAAGAACAAGAAGAAAAACAUAGGUGCCAGAAAGGAACGUUUUGCCAUAAUGAAGAUGCUGAAAUAAAACAUGCAGAAAACUUAGUCAAUCACUAGAAUAGGCACAUAGAUCUUUUGUCAGAAGUAGGAUUAUCAUAUUUUACAGUGCAAUAAAUCUUUAGAAUAGUCAAUAUGUCAUGCUUCUAGAAGUCAUCUUCGAUUGAAAAAAUCCACCACUUGAGCACACCCAUAGGCACAAGUAACUCAACAUACCUGUAGCUUUGUCAAGCGAGAUUUAAGGGUAUUUAGGAAUACAUCAUGACUUUGCAUCAGAUCUUCAAUAACAUCCUUAUAAUUAGCAGAAGUCGAGUCCCUACCAGAAAUUUGAGGCUCUUCAUUCUGUCAUCAGCAAAAGAGACAGAAACUGAGUGUGAUUCGUGGAAUGUGAAUAAUACAGGCACAUAUGAAUUCAUUUGACUGAGUUUGUAAGCAUCAGGAUCUUAUGAGCAUUGGUUCAGCCUCUCAGCUGAUAAUUUUAGAAAGAUUCCCACAGAAAAAAAGACACUAUUCAAAAAGAAAUUUUCUUUAAAUUGUGUUUGCCAUGUAAAAAAAUUUUCAAGGAGACAAAACUGAAAUUUUAUUAUUAGGUUUUCUAAUUAGAACCAAGAGUUUGGUAACAGAAGGCAUUUUUUUCUACAUUUAGUACUAAGGUAGCCCAAUCACAAAUAGAUGAACUACAAAAAUUAAAUCCAUGCAGCAAGCGCUGCGGCCAACAGUGCUGCUAACACUUGGCAAGUUUUUCUGUAUCUAGUACAGAGGUGGAAAAUACAACCAAGUCUCAAAUGAUUUUCUUCAAUAUCAUUUCAGAGAUCCGAUGCUUCAAGUCAUCUCAGGUUAGUGCUUGAGAGGUUGGCUGGGAAAUAUAAGAUGUUACCUGAUUCAAAUGUCCAUGGCAACAUCUAUAGCGACAGAUCUUUAUAUUUUUUUUAUCUCAUGCCUAAUUCAAGAUAGUAACUUGAUUGUAAUCAUACCUGAUUCCUUGCAACAUUUAUCUAUCCAUUUCAAGUUGAAACUUCAGAGAUUCUUAUAUAUUUAGCAGGAUCUUAUGUUAUACAGACCAUAAGAACAUCAAACCAAUUGUAAAUCCACUUAUAUUUGAACCAUGAAAAAUCUUCCUACUAAGGAGGCAAAGAUCUUACCAGAUUGGGGGGUGCUCUAUCCAUUUCACAUUCGAUGUGAGGGGUAAAAUUAGUAGUCAUGGAAGGUAUUCUAUCCACUUCAGGUAUAACAGGCGUGGUAGUAUUAGUGGGAAUAGGGGGUGUUCUAUUCCUUUCAGAAAUAACACGAGGGGUGAUAACAGCUGCUACUGAGGGAGUUCGCGUGGCAGUGUUUGUAGGAAGGGGUGUUCUAUCCCUUUCAGGUACAACACGAGGGGUGAAAAUAGUUGCUACUGGGGGAGUCCGAUCAGUUGCAGGUAUAGCACGAGAGGUCAUACGGGCUGCUACAGGGGGUGUUCUAUCUGUUUGUGAUACAACACGUGACAUCAUAUUAGUUGAUAUAGAGGGUUUUCUAUCUGUUUCAGGUAUAACACGAGGGGUUGAUUUAGUUGCUACGGUGGUUGUUCUAUCCUUCUCAGGUAAGGCAAUAGAAAUCCUUUUUGUUGCUGCGGAGGCUGUAUUAUCUGUUUCAGGUACAAAACAAGGGUUCAUUUUAGGUGCUAUUGUGGCAGUUCUGUCUGUUUCAGGGACAAUGAGAGGAGUAAUAUUUGAUGUAACAGGUGUUCUAUCUGUUUCAGAAAUGACAGGAGGGGUCGUAUUUGUUUCUGUGGUGGAGGUCCUGUUUGAUUCUGGCACAGCUUGAUGACUUGUGUUUAAUUCUUGAUCUUCGCUACUUAAUUUCUCCCUUCUUUCAAACCUCUCAACAAGACUACGUGUCCUGCCCGAUACCACUGCAACUGCCAGAAUGAAAAUAUUUGAAAAAAAAAAAAAUCAAUUUCCAUCCAUUUUGCAUAUGCUUGAAAUCAAACACAUGACAAGCACUGACAAACCUCCAUUGACAAUCUUAACAGGGGCAAUCUCUUUACUGCUUUUAACAGAUCCGUCACCUGAAACAUACACAAAUUGUUGUUACCUGCUAAUAAAAAGAUAUAUCACAAAUCAUCAACCAAAAAGAUAAAACCAUGAGUGAAUAUGAUUCACACAUCUACAUUUCAAAAAGAUAAACAAUAUUCAUUUAUUUGACUUCAGGAAGUCAACAAAAUGUAUAUGUAAAACUUAUCAAAGCAUCGGAUAAAAGCUAAUGUGGGGUUUUGAAGGGCAAGCAACACAGAGAAUGGGAGAAGAGGAACUUGGGCAUGGGAAGAAAGCUGUGCUCCACUGAGUAGCCAAUUGGCCCCAGUGGUUUUCUAAUAGACCAGAAUGACAAUGCUGUAAUAUAUAUCAACCCAAAGGCUGUGUGGUGGUGAUAAGAUUCUGAAUAAUAUCUUUGAUCAUAAAUGGUGCAAUAAAGAGCACUGGCAAACAUUGCCAAAUAUGAUUGAAAAAAUGGAAACUUUAUAAGCUAGUCACAGAUAGUAAUACUAAGGGAGCGUCUGGAAACACGGGCCGACCCGCGUUUCCAAAAAAUUCAAAAAUUUUUUUUUGGUGAAAAAUUAAUUUUUUGUAUGUUUUGGAUUGUUCUAAUGCGCUAAUCUCACAAAUAAUUAAAAUAAAAAUAAAAAUACAUCAUUUUGAUGCAUUUCAGCAUGAAAAGCACUUUGAAAAGCAACCAUAACCAACACUCCCAAACAGGCCCUUAGUCAUUCAAAUAGAUGGCAGUCAAACAAUAUCUUCAUAAAGUCAGCAUGGCUAAGAAUGAGAAGAAGGUAUCGAGGUAGAUGGCCAGAUGAGAUCCCACAUGAUCAGAAAUGAAAUGCAGCUUUGACAAAUUAAAGAUUUGGCAAAAAUCACAGGACAAGGGACAUCUCAUAAAGAAGUGAGAUUAAGGGUAGCAAAACAGGUGGCUCGGGCUUUAUGGAAAAGGCAGUGAGAGAGUAGAGUAGAUAAGACAUCAGUCCAUCUCGCCAACCCAAAUUGUUGGGAAAAGUGACUGACAAGUAAAAUGCAGUUCAAGAACACAUGGAAAAAGGCUUACUCAGGAAAUACCCAGGGGAAAAGAACAUGGAAGAUAGAGAUAUCAGAAGAACGAAUUGUGAGAAAGUAAAGAGCUUAAUAGUAAAAAAAAAGAAAAAAAGAUACUCUUAUAAAAGCAAGAACUUACAGUUUCCCUGAUUAGGUGUUUCUGGUGAUAAAACUUUUUCAAACUUCUCUGUGACACCCUUAAUACUGGGGCUUUUCUUCUCACGGGAUUUUUGAGCUCCAUCUUCUGUUACAAUCUGGGAUUGCAAGCUGGGAUCUCUUGCACUUCCUUUCUCACUUGUAACACUGCUAAAAUUUCCAGAUUCAAGAGCCACUGGCAUCUUGUCAACAUCAUUCUUGCUAUUUGAUGGCCUCCGCACAUGAGCUGGUCUGAGCAACAUACCAGGUUUGGUCUUUGUAAACAUGAUAGUUUCCUUUCCAGAAUUAGAAGAAUCUUUUUCAACAGGAAUGUCCCGAGGUACAAUGGUAGGGACAAUGAAAGAUUUGUUAAAAGCUUGUUCACUCAAAUUUGCAUUCAUUCCCAUUAAAGAGCUCUGCUUCUUGGUUAGAGGAGCACUCAUUUCCUUGGAAUCCAGUGAGAGGACUUCUUUUGAUGAAUUCAGGGAACCAGCUCUUUGUAAAGUAACAGGAUUUCCACCAGUAGCUUUACAUGAAAGAAGGAAAAGCACAUUAGAGAGAACGUAGAUUGUAGACAGUAGGGAUGCACCAUGCAUGCCUAGAAGACAGCAUGUGCUGAUUAUUAAUGGAAAUUACAAUCACACUCCAUGGUGCUAGACGACACCAUGCAUUCUAGACAUGCAUGCCUAGACGACAGCAUGUGCUGAUUAUUAAUGGAAAUUACAAUCACACUCCAUGGUGCUAGACGACACCAUGCAUUCUAGACAUGCAUGCCUAGACGACAGCAUGUGCUGAUUAUUAAUGGAAAUUACAAUCACACUCCAUGCCUGCAGAAUAUUCUAGGGAUGCACCAUGCAUGCCUAGACGACAGCAUGUGCUGAUUAUUAAUGAAAAUAACAAUCACACUCCAUGCCUGCAGAAUAUUCUAGCUUAGAUAGGCCGGUUAUUGUACAUCCAUGUAAAUGGCCCAGAAACUAUGAAAGACAUGAAUUUUGGAAGCCCUGACCUUGUUCAAAUCUAAAAUCACAAAUAAAAAAAAAAGAAGCUAAAUUUCAGAAUCAAAUCAAUUCAUGUUGAAGGACUGGUAGAAGGAUCAGUUUUCGUUCAAGACGAAUCCUCCUCGACACAGUCAAUCCCUAAACAACUAUCUUAUAUGGCUACAGCAGGAGUGCAUUUACUAUUGGAAAAUUUUAACUUAUCCAUUAUUUUUUAAGAAAGCAGAAAACUAUUCAAUAAUGUGUUCACUGGAUAGAAUUUUGUCAGAAAUCCAGGCUUCCUAUUUCUUAAAAAAAAUCUGAAAACUUUAGAGCUACAACAUACAUUUUUCAUGUUUUCUACUUUGUUUUUAGGGAAAAGAGAAUCCACUUCGGAAUAUAGUGGUCCUCAUAGGAAUGCUUCUCGAAAAAAACCUUGUGUUAUUUUAAAGGAGCCAAAAGAGGUCCCCAUUUUCUAGUUAGAAAAAUAAAAAUAAUAGAUAAAAACAUUCCCUCCAUCUUUCAUGGAAAAAAAAAUUGGCAGAAUAGAGAGAAAGGUAAAAAAAAUAAAAUUGGCAGAAUAAAGGGAAACAUGAAAACUACUUUUCAUUAGAAAACUGUAAGAGAACCAAUACUGUGCCAUGAGUGAAUCACUCUGUGGUGGCUUAAUUAUGGUAUUCUCUUAGUCUCUUGUUUCUUCUUAAACUUCUCUCUCAAUUUCCAGCCUCUGUAUUGUAAAUUCUCUUCAGUAAAAUUUAUAUUAAAAUAUUUUUUGCAUCAGCUUAAGGACCAAAUGAAAAACUAACAAGCACCACAAGCAAAUAUUGGAUGUGGAUAAAAAUAAAACUCUACUUGGAAGUUAUGGGAGCAGUACAGUUCUUGAAAGCAGAUGACAUGGAGAAUUCACGCACUCAUAUAAACAAAUAAGACACCAAAAAAUGAAUAUCCAGAGUUGUCUUAUUGGUAGAAAAACAAAAUUAUCAACUUACAGUCUACAUAUAUGUUCUUUAUUUCCUUUGUCUCAUAGUCAGGAGAUGGAGAACGGAAACCCAAAGUUGAUCUCACAUCACUUCCUACUUUAUCUGAAGAAUUACAUCCAGGGAUGUUAAAUUUCUGGUCUGUGCAUUCACUUUCUUUGGGUUCAAAACCAUCACCAUAUGGCUCAAUGCACUAAAACAGAGAGGAAAAUAUUAACACUAUGGUUAAUGGUGACUUGAAAGUUUGGAAAAUCAAAUAAAAACUAAAUUAAUAUAAACAGAAAAAAGGUUCAUGAGUAGAAAAGGCUACCGAUAUAUCUCCAACCCAAACUCCAACAGAGUUUCUAUAGAAUGAACAGCCCAAGAGUUUCCCAUCAUGAAUGCAGAGGUCACCAAGUGUCGACCAUCCCAUAUCAACAGCAUCAUGGCUAAUCACAGGCUCCCAAGAAUAAACCUACAGUUUUAAGCAUAAUUUUUGAGCUCCACGUCAAUUGACAAAUAACAUAAAGCAGUGUCAUUAUGCCAAAAACCCAAACCUUCAGACUAUCAUCUAAUCCACAAAAAAGCGUCCUUCCAUCAGGAUGAAAGGUAAUAGAGCGCACUCCUGUAGCCUGAAAAGUGGAAGUAUAACUUUUUUAGGGAACAUGAUGGAAGAAUUUACUAAUUAAUCAUCCUGAAAACCACAUACCAACAUAAUAAUUAAUCAAAUGAGGACAGGAUAACCUAGAGUAGCCUGUAAAGAAACUUAGAGACUGGGAAGAAAGUUGGAAGAGAGGGCAGAACUGAAGAUUUCACAUAUAUGAACCACAUACUCUGGGGCAGCAAAAGCAUCUAUUGUUAUAAGAGAUCUCAACUGAUUAGGUUACAAAAGUUAUUGAAUAUCAACACUAUAUGGUUCCAUAUCAGCAUAAGAAUAAUAGCCUCACACCAUUAACUGACUAACCAUGACCAUAUCAGAUGUAUGAAACAUGUCUUGAAACUUGAUUGCUUCCAAGACAUUCUUGACAAGAGACUUUAAAGUGGGCUUGUUGUCGUGAGCCAAUCUCCAAUUUUCUUAUUUAACCACAUUUUGAUGACUAAAAUUAUUUCAAUUUAUAAACACAAGCUUAGAUACCUCAGGUCGGGUAGAUCCAAUCAGUUCGAAGGUCUCCAAAUCCCAGAAUUUCACGGUUCUGUCUGCUGAACCUGAAAAAUUAUUUGCAGAUUAUGACAACUAAGUAGUUGAGUACCUCAAGUUAAAACAUGCUGACUGGUGGGGGCAAAGAAAGUAACAAAGAAAUAUGUAAAUUUUACCACAAUAAGCUCCUAAAUGAAGCGCAUUAAUCAAGUAUGAAUUAGAACAUUGAAGAAAAUAGAAUUACCAAUGAAAUGGUAAUAAUUGCACAGAAAACAAGAUGGAAGGCACCUGUCAUCUCAAUAAUGGUGUCAUUCACACACAAAAAAGUGAGCAUAAUUCAAGGUACUCACACAGAGAAAUCAUGUACUCACCAGUAGCAAGGAGAAACUCAAGGGGAUGGAAAUCAAUGGAUCUAAUAUGUCCUUCAUGGAACUUAAAAUCAUGUAAAAGCUUUCCAGCAGUAAGAUCCCACACCUGUUCAACAAUAACAAGGAAACACCAAUAAACAGUGGAAAUAAAACCUAAAUGAAAGUCACGUUUGGUUAGUGUGAUUGAUAAUUUACCUUAACAACAUUAUCACAUCCACCGGAAACCACCCAACGACCAUCGGGAGUAAAUCUGAUAGUGCUAAUUCCUUGAGUAUGACCCUUGUACGUGUGUAUGCAGCCCUUUUUUCUGAUAUCCCAGAUCCUCAUAUUCAUGUCUGUGGAACCAGAAGCAAAGAACUCACCAAAUGGAUGGAAUUCAACGGCUGUGCAGUUGGAUCUGUGUCCAGUAAGAGUGCGAACCACUACACUUCAAGAAAAAUAACAAAUGGAUUAGUUUUUUACUAUAAACUGCAAAAGCGAUUCCUAACACACCAGAUGCUCAAUAAUUUGCUAGUUCAACAUACACAUGGAAAAGACUUAAAAAGGGUAACCACAUUGCUAAAUUCUCAUACCAUAGUUAAACACACCAACUACAUAAACUUAUGAUAACCACUUCAUUUAAGCAAGGAAUACAAUCAAUCAAUCAACUUACUCUUAGCUUCUUCUAAAUCCCACAGCUUUAUUGCACCCAUAGAAGCUCCGGCAAGCACUAAAACUUCUGGUGUAUCAAAAGCAACAGAUUCAACUGGACUUGUAUGGCCACACAAGCUCUGCAUAUCGACACCAAUAAAUAAACAACCACAGUUAUGUAUGUUAAUAACACCACCUAACAGAUGCACCCAUUCCAUUUACACUAGCAUUUUCUAAAUGAUAGAUUCAAACUCAAGUAAUUCUCAAUUCCAAACUGGCAGUCCACUUUCCACUUUUUUCAGUAAAUCCUAUCGGAGGUUAAAAUCUAAACUUCCUCUAAGAUGCAAUAUUAUAUGAUACAACACAACAGAUUGAAAAUGUGGCAAAACUAAUGCACUGAUCUAGCCCAAAUGAUAACAAGUAGAUAAAAUCACACUCAAUAAAAGCACAUUAGAGUACCGGAAUCAGAAAAACUUCAAAUAGGUGGGCAUGAGAUAAAAACAGAAAGAAUAGAAACUCACCAUUAAAGAAGUGGGUUUGCCAAUUGCCCAAAGAUUCACUUUAUGAUCAUCACCACCGGUGAUAAACAUUCUACACGCCUUUUUACCGAUACUUAAGCAGUUCACAUUGGUUGAAUGAGCCACAAAUUCUUCUAUUUUCAUCUCAGUCAAGAAAAUAAAUAUAUUGAAAAUAUUCUGAUCUAAGAUUCCAAAAUACUUCUCUCUUAGCUUAGAUUAAAACAACUUCUCGCCAAAUUAUUUGUAACAAAAAAAUAAAUAAAAGUACAGACCUGAAACUAUAAUCAAAACAAGAAAUGAAGAAAAAGAAAUUGUAUUAAGUUCAAGCAGAGAAAGAAAGCAUUUCAAGAAAAUCACGAGAAAAAUUAAAAAAUAAAAAUAAAAACAAAAACCUGAAAUUUCUACAGUUAACCAAAAAAAGAUCAUUUUUAAAAAAAAAUUCAAAGUUUUAGAAAACUAAAAACAGCUAAAAUCCAACUCGAAAACAAGCUCAAAUUAAAAUCAGCACUAAAAAAACCCUAAAAACCACGCUUCGAAGCUAAAAUUAAAGAUGAUUCAAAGCUUAAAAACAUGGACAUUACAGAUGAGACGCAGAAAUCAAGACAAAAAAGAAAGGAUACGCAGCUUAUAUCCACGCUUCGCCAUUUCUCGCAGAUUCGAAACGGUAGCGUAUUGAGGAAGGCGCGCGGUUGUCCGUCUGCUGCUACUGAUGAUUCUUGAAAGAUUAGGAAUUGGAUUCCAGAUAGAGAGGAAUUUGUGUGUCUCUCUCUCAGAUUCCUACAGUAGAGGAGGAGGAGCAGAGAGGAUGAAGAAAAGAGGUUUCUGGCUCCUUUUUUUGAGAAACGUGUGUUCUCUGUCGUCUAAGAAGAAAAAAGAGGGGAGAGAGAGAGAGAGAGAGGAGAACAGUUCAAUUUCUUCAGAUUUCAGACCAUGAUAGCCACUACUCCUACUCCUUUCUUUCUCAUAAACUACAAUCUAGUCCUUCAAUUAUUCUAGAGGACCUACAAGUUUGUUUAAGGGCUUGUUUAGCAUUGCAGGAAAACAUGUUUGUUUAAAUUUUGUUUUUUAUUUAAAAUAUUUUUUAAAAUAUUUUAAUAUACUGAUAUUAAAAAUAAAUUUUAAAAAUAAAAAAUAUUAUUAUUUUAUUAUAUUUCUGAGUAAAAUUUAAAACACAAUAUUUAUUAUACUCUCAAAUAGGCACUAAAACCUCAUAUAUUUUUAGAUUAGUUCUUGUAUUUAUUUAAAUUAUAUUUUUUAUAUAUAGUUUAACAAGUCUUAAAUGUGUUAAUUGAAUGUUUUAAAAAAAAUUGUAUCAUAAUUUUAUAUAAUAUAUCAAAAAAAUUCAAAUUCUAAUUUUAUUUGACCUAACAAAUUUUCAAUACACAAAACUAAAAUUUUUAGAAACAAAUAAAUUAAAUUUUUAUCAACUAAAACAAAAGUGUGAUCAAGCACAAAUAGAAUAAUUAAAAGUAUGCUUGCUAAUCUAAUAAUAAUAAUUUUUUUAAAUUUAUUUCAUUUCGAAAUAAAUCUAAAUAUUUUAUUAUUAUUAUUUUUUAAAUUUUAUUUUAAAUAUUAAUACAUUAAAAUAAUUACAAAACAUAAAAAAAAUAUGAUAGAAUAGUUGUACGUACAGAGUGCAAUAAUUAUUAGUGUUUUUAAUUAUUAUUUUUUGGCUGUUCAUGUUAACAUGACUGGAUUUGAACAGUGCACGUAGUGUCGAUGUCGAAGUAGACAAAUAAAAUGAAAUAGAUGGAUUUAUUAAUAUCGAGGAAAAAUAGUUUCUCGGGUGACAUCACACUGGUUAAAUUUUAUAUUAAAAUAACCCAACUGAAACGUAUUGCAUAGUUAGAGGACUAUUCUAUACUUUCACGUUUUUCAAAAACUCACAUGUUGCCAGAGUAUGAAAUUACAAAAACGCGCAUGGUCGAUAACUUCUUGACAUACAAGUCCCCGGUUCUGGUGGCAAGGGUUUUUCUCUUAUUUCACGUCUUUUUUUUUUGUUUUUUUCGUAAUUAUUUUGUGGUGCAAAGAAUUACAAGUCCUAUUUAUGCUAAAAAAUACAAAAUAUUUUUUAUCCAAUUUUUCUGGAGUCUACCAAACGGUUGGGUGGUUAGAUUAGUGAUGAAAUUUGAAGUGCGAUUAGGGGCAUGAAAAGGGCUUUAUAUUAAAGGAGGAAAAUGGAAUAUUAGGCCAAUGACAACAAGAGAGAUUCCUUAAAAUAUACGUUUACUCUUGUCUUGGGUAAUUAAGGCUGUUGUUGGGAAAUAGACCUUUGCUAGGAAAUUUAGGUAAAAUAUUCAUUAGACUUUAGGUUAUGAUCUAACUAACUCAACUUCUCCAUCCCCGCAAAUUCAUUGAGUGUUUGUUUUUUCAUUAUAAUUUAUGUUUUAAAUUAAUAUUUUUUUAGGUAUUUUUAAAUGGUUUUAAUAUAAUAAUGUGAAAAAUAAAUUAAAAAAAUAUUUUGAUGUAUUUUUAAUUAAAAAAUAUCAUAUACCAUAAUAUUAAACAUGCAUUAUAUAUUUUUUUAUUCAUAAAUAGCUAAUAAUAAAAAAUAAAAAGGCAACAAACUUUUUGUGCAUGCCAUAUUCGUUUUAUUUAUUAUUAUUAUUAUUAAUCAAUUGGGGUUUUAUUUAUUAUUAUUAUUAUUAAUCAAUUGGGGUUUUUAAAUUUUCUGAUCAAAAAAAUGACAGAGAUUACUUUUCAAAAUGUUUUUCGUUUGAAAAUACAUUAUAAUAAUAUUUUUUUAUUUUUAAAAUUUAUUUUUAAUAUUAAUACAUAAAAACGAUUUAAAAAUAUCAAAAAUUAAUUUAAAACUAAAAAAAAUUAAAUUAUUUUUAAAAAUAUAGUUGGAUCUCAAUGAAUAACUGUGCAUAAAUGUUGGAGUAUAGAUUCGGAUUGUUUUUCAGAUAUUUCUAUUUGGGAUGUGAAGAAUCAUUAAUGCGUGUGAAGUUGCAAGUGUAGAUUACAUUAAUGAUCUUAGAUUGCACACAGUUCAAUCAUGGUUGGCAAAUGAAACUGUAUUAGACCAGAUAUAGUUGGUACCAAACUAAUCCAAGUGCUUGACAUGUCUUUAUGAUGGUUCCAUUUUUUUUCCAAUUUUGGGCAAACCUCCUAGAUUUGAAGGGACAACAUUAAAUACAUGGAUGCAUGAUAUGAUCUUCUUUUUUAUAUAUUAACAUGAUUCCAAAUCUAGCAUCACUCCCUUGAUGGAAAAAAGUUUUACACAUUUCUCUUUCAAUUCUAAUUUUCAUAAUCAACUUGGUGUUAGCGUGACUAGAUAAAAGCCUUUUAAUUUCUUGAAAGGUAUCGUGUAUAUCUGUUUGUUUAGUUUGAUUUGAAUAAAAAAAAUCCAACCCAACAAGAUGUGUUUUUGUUUAAAUAAAUCAAAUUAAACUAAAAUGAACAAAUAUUGUUCAAGUUCAUAGUUUGAUUAUGUUUGUUUUUGCAGGUUGAAAUUUUUUUACUUUUGUUUCUUUUUAAAAAAAUUAUUUCUAUGCUGAUAUAAAUAAUAAUUUUUUAAAAAAUAUAUAUUAUUUUAAUAUAUUUAUAAGUAAAAAGUAUUUUAAAAAACAAUAUUUACUAUAAUCUCAAACAUUAUCUCUAUCUUAAUUAAUAAAUCUCACUUUUUUUAUUUUAUGUAAGAAAAUAGUUUAGUUCAACUUUAUUUAUUUUUUGAAAUCAAAACUAAACUCAACAGGAUUUUAUUUUUUUAAAAUCUUCUAAUUGGUUUUUUUAUUUGAUAUCUCAUGUUGUUUUCUGAAUUAAGUUUUUGUUUUUUCUAAUUUGGUUAUCUUGUUCAUCACUAUACAUAAACACAUAAACAUGCAACCUCUAUAACUUUUAUGAACAGAAAAGGAGAGGGUAAAAGCUAGAGCUGGUCAAAAGGUAAAAAAAAACAGAGGAAACGAAAACAGAGCAUAGUGGGCGUGAAGACCUUUUUCUGGAUGUGGGGUUGCUCGAACCAUUUGGAUUCCGGGGGCAGAGGCGAGUGUCUCGAGCAUAAGAACACUUGCGAUACAAGAUCAUCCGUCCCCGGAAGCACAUGUGACGCUACAUUGUAACAUUUCCCUUUUUCCUAUGAGAUAAUGACCUGUGAAGGAGAUCCAUGUAAUCCCAUAGGCUCCAUCUAUCUUGGGUAUGAACAUCUCCGGCAUGAACUUAUCCUCAAGCAACGUACCGUGACGAGGAAGGAUUUGAAAUCUAUAUAACAGGUUUUGAGUUCGAGUUAGGGCAUGUAUCUUUUGUAAGAGCUUGAAAUAGCUGGGAAGUUAGGGCAUGUAUUUUUUAUAAGAGCUUAAAUUAGCUGAGGUUUUACUAAUUCAUCUAGACCAUAAAAUGUACUUUUUGAAAAGUUAGGUUUUCUCGAAUAAUAAUAAAAAAUAAUCUCCAGCAUGAACAGAAGCAGAUAAAGAGUACAGUGAAGAUAAGAUCGUCACUUUCAUACCCCAGUUGAUUAGCUUCUGGCCCUCUACCCCCUCCGCUGGGCAUUGAAUAGUAAGCUGACUUCAACGUGGAAAUGGAAGUUUAUAUCAAAUUUAAGGCAACGAUUGGUUAGUUUAGUUGUUGUAAUAUAAUCUGCGCCUUUCUUUUUGGUUUUUUCUUUUAUUUUCAGUUCAAUAGGAACUUCUAAAGACCUGGUCCAAGAAAAAAUUAGGGAGUUUAGGAGGUUGAAAAUGAGUUUUGUCUCGAUCAUGAUUUUAAAAAUAUUUGGUUAUUCAACAUAUAUUAUAUUGUAGUUUUAUAUAAAUCCCACUGAAAACUCUCUCGUGAAACCUUAAUUACCAAAAAACUAUUAAUAUGAAACUACCAUAACGCCAAAUAUUAAUAUGAAAGGUAACUCGAAAAUCCUCUGUGAUGAGAAAGAGAGUUACAGGCAGUAAACCUGCCAUUUAAAACCUAGGAUUGAACUGAAUUAUUGAAGUCUUUAAUCAUUGGGAGUCUCCUUCAGGGCAAUUUAUUGAUGAGCAGUGGCCACAGAAUAAUUUAUUCAUGUGCAUGGCUUUGAACUUCUAAUUGUCGACAUGUUAGGGCAUUUUGUAUGGACACUGAUUUGGAAAUUAAUUAAAUAUGAUAAAGCUAAAGAAUAGUAUUUUACUGUCAGGGAGCCGGCCGACAUCUCAGGCUCACCAGCAACUUAGCACCCAUAAAAUCAAAGAAUAUCUGUCCCCGGCCUUUGCCCCUUUACCAUAUUUUUAUUUCUUUAUAAAAAAUCACACUUGCACUUGAUUACUGCUGCUCUGUUGUGAAAAAGCUGAAGCAUAUCUGGUCAUUAUAAUUACAGAAAGGUGGCACUUCUGAAAAUAAAAGGGAAAGAACUUAGAGAGACCCCUCACCAUCCACUGGAUCCAAUUAUGGAGAUGAGCACAUGGUUUCAAGUUAACGAGUGGCUCUCGAGCUAACAGAAAAGACAUGAAGUGGGCUGCCAUCAAGUCUAACAAAUGACCUGACGUGUGAAAAUGACAUACAAAAUUGAUUCAAAAUGGCAAAAUGCUGCUCAACGUUGUUAAAUAUAAUCAAGAAAUCAAGAAGCGAUUACAUUAGAAAGUAAUAUUCAACAGAAUUCUGAUAAUGACUAUAUACCAACAGCUUUCUAAUAACUAAAAUGAACAAUGAAAACCUAGGAAAAACUGGUAAGUUACUUCGAAAAUUCUACCCAAGUAGGAUUUUAGCUUGUGAAAGACAAUAUUAUGCUGCUUAACAUAAGAAACACGGUCCUCCAAAGCGAUCCCACCUCGCAAAAAUCUUGGCCUGGCCAUUUUCUAAUAAGCCGGACUUCUGAGGUCCUCCUCUAUAACAUACAUAAAAGAUCCUGAACGAUUUCAGACAUGAGUGGCCUGAAUUCGGGCUCCCACUGCAUACAGAAGAGGAAAAUCAAUGGUCAAAAAGGUUGCUUAUCCCGCUAGAUAAGCAAAGAAAUGCUAAAAUGAAAUUUUUUUUUGUUAAAAUCAUGCAAAAAUGCCAGUAAAAAGGCCAGUUAAGUGUUGAAACUUCAGUUUUCAUAGGGUGGCAUGCUCCCUGACUCCCUCAUUCGAUCCUUUCACCACAUCCGAAUUCCUCUACAAGAGGCACUUUCCCCGCGCAUGAAAAGGUGUCUUCUACAAUGCCACAGGAGCUGAUAUUUACAUGUUUGGCUUCUUUUGUUGUCGAAAAUUAAUAUUGAUAAUCAAAGUACAAAUAGUAAAUAAUCCCCCCCCCCCAACACACUUCAGAAAAUCAGUCCAUAUAAAAGAAUCUAAUCCAGAUAAUUUAAAGGCCUACUGCUCUUGGUCCAACACUGACACAUCCAGUACAAUGCUCCCAGAUCCACAACUCACCAUUCCAGAAACAUGUAACUCAAUUAUAGAAAAUACGCCAAGGAAAGGGAAACUUGCCUGCACACAUCUAGAUAUUAUAUCAGCAAAACGUGAUAAAGACUUCACAGGACAUGCCCCAUUUAUAGAGGGGUCAACCAUCCUAGAAAGUGCAUCUAUAUCAUGAAGCUGAUGAAUUGCCCAUCUAACCAGAGAUUGCUCCCCUCGACUCAAUGACCUACAGGUUUUCAGUGAGAGCACAACAUUAGCUGAAAACAAAUAACUAGUGAGCUCAAUUUGAUUCAUGAUCAAUAUGGAAGUCCCCUUUCAAGAGAUCAGUAACCUGUCAUAAGAUUUUCUACCGGUGAGGAGCUCUAGCAUCACAACUCCAAAGCUAUAUACAUCACUCUUGCUAGUAUAACUUCCCAACUCAAGCUCUGGAGCCCCAUAACCAUGAGCACUGAGGACGCGCCCUGAUAACUGAAAGGCAUGUUCUUCAACAUCAGCAACAAAUUACAAAUAACGACAACCAAAGUCAAACUUCGCAGCUUGAAGUGGACACAUCAAUUUGGGCUUAAAGUAAUAAAUCAUUUUUUUAUUAGCACUGAAUUGAGAAAAAUUCAUCAAGUUUAACAAUCAGUUUUAGCACCUUAUGCUAUUAAUUUAAUUUCUGUAAUCCUGGAAACUUGCCCACUUGAAAUCUUAACAAACAGAGAAUCAGAUAAUACAAUAGCAAAGUUCCAGAUCUAGAUUUUUAGACAUAGACCAAAAAUAUUACCUCAGUUGCAAAGCCAGAUGAUUUCAGAGGAGCCAGGCCACAGUCUGAGACACGAGCUACAAGAUUAUCAUCAAGUAGAAUGUUGGAAGAUUUAAAAUUCCAGUGCACAAUAGGUGGUUGGCAAACCUCAUGCAGAUACCUUACCAAAAAGAAAAGUACAAAGACAGUCAGUUUGACUAAUGACUAAAGAUUGGAGGCAAAUGACCUCUGUUUCAUAAUCAUGCAAGCCAAAAUGAAGGAGGUAAUGGACUUGUGAGACAUCUAGGAACCCCUUAGGCCACCAAGAUAAGAAAUGCAACAAAGACAAUGGAUUGAUCAUCUGGCCUAAUAUGAUCUUACAGUUUUAACUGAGUAUCUAAUUACAAGUCAUACAAAUAAUGGUCCUCGGGUUUAGUUAGUUGGUAGCUCAACUUACUGGAGGGCUCUAGCAGCUCCUAGUGCCAGCCGGACACGUGCAUUCCAUGAGAAUUUCCUAUGGAUUUCUUCAUCCGCAUGCAAUGCAUCAUAAAGUGUCCCAUGUUUGCAAUACUCAUAAACAAGUAACCGUUGCCCAUGCUCAUUACAGUAUCCCACAAACUCCACGAUAUUAUCAUGUUGAGUUUUCGAUAUGCUAGAAACUAGUUGAAGAAAUUCCUCAUCAGUCUGUUGCUUGGAAGCUCCACUGUUUAGCUUCUUGACUGCCAGUAGCUACCAAAGAUAACAGAAACAAAAAGAGAGAGGGUCAAUAAAUAGAAAUCAGAUGUCAGGCUCUAGCCAUCAUAUGCAAAUCAGGCCACUCAUGACCAUCCAUGAGACAGACAUAAAAGAAUUGCACGAGUAAGAAAAUGGAUUAAACUUGCACACUGUGAAAGUGCUGAAAAAUCCUGAAGAAUUCUCUAAACGUUUUAAAUUAAAGUCCUUCACACUUUGAACUGCAUGUAAUUGAUUGGCCAUGCGAGUAUCCUAGCAAAAUAUGAUACAAAAUUUAGCUUAAGACUAAGGAAAAGAAGAGAAUCUUACACCGACAGAGUUUAUAAUAAAUGAAGACAAAUGACAGUAUAACAUGAGCACUGGCAUAAAGUUCAAGUAGGAAGCACAAAUAAGUUCAGAACCAACUCAAUUUAAGGACAUGCAAUGCUAUAACACUGACAUGAGAAGGCUUGUGAAAUCACAUGAAUGACACAUGGCAUUCCCAAAAUCAGCUCAAUGCUAGAAAAGAGAAUCUUACUUUUCCAGUAGGAAGCUCAGCCCUGUAAACACUGCCAAGUGUCCCUUCACCAACAAAAUUUUCUUCUGAAAAGCUGUUUGAGUACUGCUGAAGUGUAGCAAUGGUGAAAAUCCUUGGAAAAUGUGAGGUCAAAGUCCCGGUUGAAUGACUCUUUUCAUGAGCUGCAUGCCCAAUUGGAUUUGCAAUGACAUUGCCAAUAGGAAGGCUUGGGGGAGGUGGCGGCAGUGGCAUAAAAUUUGCAUCGACGCUUGUCAUGUUUAUCCCAUGAUCCAUCUUUUGCUUGGAAUAUGCAGCCAUUCUCUUCAAAUCAAUAUCCAGUUCACCAUGUGCCUUUGGAAAUGCUUCCUGCCUUCUGGCAUCUGGUCCAUAUUGAUCUUGCAGCUUUACGGUUGAUUCUUUGGUAACUGCUCAAAGGACCUCUUUUCAGGCAAAAGGACACGGAGAGUGGAAAAUUUUAGUAAUUUUGACCAACAACCUGCAAUGAUAGUUACCUUUCUCUUGAUUAUUUCGUUCAAAUGAAGAUUUACUGUUGAGCUCAUCUAUACGGCUCUUAUAUACACUAACAUUGUGCCUCUCGUUGUCUUCUUCAUUUGCUUUCCUUCCUUUGCAGCAUGUUGACAUUAAAAGACAUAAUCCCAGUAUGAUAAUAAUAACUACUACCCCUAUAACAGCAAUCCAAAUGACCCUCUUAGAUGCAAAAAAUCCUUUCGAUCUUUCAGACUUUAGUGUUACUGAGGCAGAAGGACCAUUUGCCUGCUUCUGAGGUGCUUCUGCAACAGGUGGCAAGCUUGGAAAUGGAGAGAUGGCAGGUGGCGGAGAAGGAAUGAUAGAUGUAUUGAAUGGAUUUCCAUCUUUUCUGCAAAAUACAUGCUACCAUUACAAGCAGAUAAAAAAUAAAGAUUAUACCAGACAUUGAAAAUGCCUAAUGAACAGGCAUGGAAAAUCAUCCAUCAUAGAGGCCAUCAACCUUUCAAAUAACAUCAGAAUAUAUAGCAUCAACAAUUACUAUGACAUGCAUAAUUUGGCUAAUGAGAUUUUUGUCUUUGGAUGUGGACAUGUUCUCUCUAAAUCCCAAUGGCUUUCUCCCUUACUUUAUGCUCUAACCAUAAGUCUUGUACAUUAUUUUCUCCAUAAACGCGCAUGUAUAUCUGAUAAAUUUAGGUGUAAGAUAUACUAACAGAUAGUUUGUACAGUGGCUUCACCUGAAAUUUGGAAUAUCCAGCAGCUUCUCAGGAAUAGGCCCAGAAAAUAGAUUGUUCUCCACAUUCCUAUGCAGAAACAAAGGGAUAGCAUGUCAGUUGUUGAUGAAAAGGUCAGCACAUCAUAUAAACCAACUAGGGGAUUGCUGCCUCAUCGAUGCAGAAUCAAGUAGCAAGUAGUGAAUCAAACAGAGUAUAGAUUUAUGUCCUCUGUGUUUGUUUAUUUCACCACUUGAUUAUACAUAAAAAUUGAAUCCUUGAAAGAAUUGCCAAUUAAAAGACUUAAAAACCAAAAGAGCACUAGGGGUCAGAAAGGUGUCAAGAAAGUUACAGAUACUCAAGGGGAAGAUCCUGCAGGACAUUAAGGGUCCCAGUAAGUCUAUUGUUCUGCAAAUGCCUGCAAAACAAAAAUUAUGUAUACAUCAAGUAACUAUAAUCUGUUGCAGAUUAUUAGCAAGAAGCCAAGUACUCUAUGAGAGCCUCACAAUGUGCUGAGAGAAGACAAAGUUCCCAUUGAAGGAGGCAGCUGAUCACUCAAAUUAUUACCAGACAGAUCCCUGAACCAAUAUGGAUGAUUAAAAAUAAAAUCUGGCAAUUUCUAUUUUCAACAAGAAUAAUGGAUUUAACUUGAAAUACUUACAAAUUUGUCAAACUUGUCAUUGGUUGAAAGACAUCUGGUAUUUCUCCAAUUAGCUGAUUAUUGUGAAAAGAUCUAAGGAGAAUAAAAGUGGAUUUCAGAUGAACAAACAUAAUCUAAAGGUAGUGCAAUUCCACAAUAUGAAACAAUUAAGAAGUUUUUUGUAUGAACAUACAAGUCUAACAGUUGACCUAAUGAGUCUAAAGUAUCUGGAAUUCUUCCAGUGAACUGAUUGCGAGCAAGAGAACUGGAAUAGGAAAAGAAGCCACACAAAUUAUUUCCUCAAGGAAAUGUACAUGUUAAGAAAGGAAUAGCAGCAUUAACAAAUAAAAAUAAUUUUCUAGAACCGGUUUGUUAAACUGGUGAUAAAAGCAAGGUUGAAGUUUACGCACAAGUUCCUCAAGGUAGAGGGUAACGCCGAUGGAAUAUCCCCUCCAAUAUGAUUAUCACUAAUAUCUCUGCAACAAAAAAGUGAUAGAAAGUACCAUAAGUCUUUAACAACAGGGGCUUCAAAACUCCAUUUACAAACUGCAUGUAUCAUGAACUUAACCAUUGCCAACUCGUCAAUUCUUAAAAUCACCCCGGAUGAUUCUGGUCAUUAACCAUCCUCUUCAAACUUUUUAAGGUAAAACUCAUCAAUACUAUACCUAUGAACUAAACGAGAAACAACAAUCAUGAAAACAUCAUGAUCCGUAAACAGGUUUGAUUGAGAAAAUUAUGUCGCCAAACUAAUCUACCCCACCAAUUUCAUAAUUACAUAGACGUGACCAGUGCACUUACAUAUCUAUGAUUGAUGUAAAUUUAUUGAAAUCGCUGUUCAAGGUUCCCCCUAAAUUCAAGCCAUUUAGUGUUCUGUAAGAAAAAAGAUUCGAUUACUGAGUUGAGUAGAAGUUUACUAAUUGAAAUUAAAUAAAGAAAGAAAGAUACAAAUAGAACAUACAAUGAGGUUAUGUUUGAGAAUACACAACCAACUCCUUGCCAUGCAUCUGAACAUGGGUCUCCUCCCAUAGCAAGCCAACCAAUCAACUGAGGAUAUUGCAAGCUAACAAACAAGCUAUUCAUUGCAGUCACUGGAAAAAAACGAAGAAGAAAUGAAACAUACAUAUACUGAGUCAGAGAUUAUUACAUAAGUUGAAGCAAUCGAGACGCCCAAAAAUGAAAAAAAUGAAAAAUAAAACCAUAUUUGACACUAUCAUUAAUCAAGCAAGGAUAAAAUAGAGUUGGGUAAUAUUAUCAUAAUAAGGAAUGUUUGGUAAGUAAAUUAGAUGCCAUGAACAAACUGUCUAGUUACCAACAACGUAUAAAAUUCAGUAACACUAAUUUAACUCAUUCUUUAACAUGUUCCCAUACACACAAAUGAUUAGAAGAAGAAGAAGAAGAAGAUCAUUAAUAAGCAAAUCAUGGUAAUAUUUCAAAAAAAUGAAAUAAGAAGCAUAGGUGUACAGAUGCCGCAAGCAAAUGAAAGCCAAGCAACUGACAAGACGAAUCAAAUAAAAUAUCAAAACUUCAGAAACAAUCACAGCAUUAUGAGGCAAAACAUCCAAAAAACCAAGAAGGAGAGACCAACAAAAGACAUGACAGCCAAAAAUAACAUGAACCCGGAAAAGAAAAUGGUUUACCAUCAUUAGGGUCGGUGUAAGAAACAGAAAAGGAAGUCAUGAGAACCGCCACCAGGACAAAAAACACCCCACACUUGACAAACCCCAUUAGUGCUCACUUGAAAAGACUCAAACUUUCCCUUCUUUUCUUCAAUAUUUCUCACAAAUCAAACAUGGACAGAUAAAAAAAAAAUGUUUUGGGGCAUAAUUUUACAUUUAUAUAUAGAGAGAGAGAGAAACAAAAGGAAAGGUUUUUGAACAGAAAUUGAAAAUCUUAAAGAUUUGAGAGAGAGAGAGAGAGUAAAUCAGAGGAUAAUUGAAUGCAGGCAGAAUUAAGAAGCGGUAGUGAUUGAAAAAAUCGAAAAUUUCUUGUUGAGAUCAGAAGUAAAGUAGAGAGUGAGUUCAGAGUUGGGGUUUCGGGAGAGUGGAGAGUGCAGUGCAGAUGUGCUGUGUUUUAACGAAAAGAGAAAACAAAAGGAAAGCAACGGCAUUAUUAUGGAAAACGAUGGUUGCUGUUUCCUCUGUGGGAAAAUGUAAUAUACUAUAAUUCAUAUGCUUCUACUUUAUUUAAUGGGAAUACAGAACAUCGUGGGCGAUGGGGCCCUCAAAUAUGUGGAUAAACCAUACUCUUCCCUUUCAUGAGAAUUUAAAUUAUACUUUUAUUUAAAGAAAAACUAGUCAAGUAUAAGGCCGUGUUUGGUAAUAUGUUUGGAUUGUGCUUGGGAAGUGAUUCUCAAGAUAUGUUUUCAAUUGAAAAGAUAAUAAUCAAUUUCAUGUUUUUCUAAUUAUUAUUCUUUUAUGGUUUUGAUAUUUCGAUAGUAAUUUCAUAAUAUAUGGUACUUUAUGAUUAGAGAUGGGUAAAAGUCAAUCCAAUUAACUGAAAUCAUAUAUAAAAAUUAAUGAGAUGCUUGUUUAAUUCAAUUUUUACAUGAAUUUUUAAUUUUUAAUUUUUUAAUUUUAUAGCAUGAUAAUUUUAUUAUUUAAUAUAAUAUAUAGAUUUUCAUCUUAUUAUUUAUUAAGAAUCUUUAUAUUUUUAUGCAUGGAUUUAAAGUUUAGAUUAUAUUUUAUGGUUUAUGUUUGUAUGCAUGGAUUUGUUUUUAAGAAAACUUGUACAGCUAACAAAACCUAACUUUUAAAAAAAAUCCAAAGCCCAUUGAACAAGUAUGAAAAUGUCCAUUUGAAGUCGAGCAUAAAAAAAUUAAUCUCAUAUCAUAUGUUAAUAAGUGAACGAUGAAUGUCAAGAGACAGUUAGCAAUGGAUUAGGAAUCCAUUAUUUAAUUCAAUGACUAAAAAAUAUUAAGAGUUUGUUUGGCUUCUGCCAUGUCUAUAGUGUUAUUUUUUGCUGUAAUAUUAUAAUAUUAAUCUGUUUAGUAAUAAUUUUAUUUAUUUAUUAACAUGAAUGUCUGGGUCAGCUUGCGUGUACCUUAAUUAUUCACAUGGAUCCUGGAGUUAACGACUAUAUAAGUCUUCAAUGGUCAUUAUAUUAGCAACUAGAUGGCUUAAACUUUAAACCAUAAAGGAAGCAAACUCUUUAAUCACAAGCUCUUACCACUAGACCACCUACUAGAUAGUUUGUUUAAUAAUAAAUUGUUAUAAAGUAUUGUGAGUGAAAUCAAUUUAAUUAUUCGAAACUCUACCCCUAUGAUAUUUGAAUUAACAAUUGUAUUAAGGACACAAUUUAAAUGUUUAAAGGUAUGUUUGGAAAUGCAGUUAAAAUUGUGUUUUUUUAAAUUUUAUUUUUUUAUAUGUUUUCAAAUCAUUUUGAUGUGAUGAUCGCAAAAAUAAUUUUUAAAAAAUAAAAAUAUAUAAUUUUGAUAUAUUUUUAAAUGAAAAACACUUUAAAUCUUAAUUGUUGUCACAACCUCAAACAUAUAUUAAAUAAAAUAAAUUAAUAAAAUAUAAAUAUAUUUUUAUACAAAAUAAUAAUCUGACCCACUACACACGAAAGGAGAGCAAUAAUCCAGUACUUAUUGAAACAAUCUAGGUUAGUUAAACCUAUGACAUAAAACUGCUACAUGUACGUUUGUUAGUCGUGGUGUCUAUUCUAUACUCUACUCUCCGUGAUGGGUGCCUUUUAUCACGAUCUCUCAGUCGACCAAUCAAAUGACAGAGACUGCUCAUAGAGACACUAAGUAAAUUUUCCAUUUAAAUAUGUUGCAUGCUAUUUUCUAGCUAUAUAUUAUUUCUAAGAUAGACCUCAUUGAAAAAACAUUGAGCAAUCGACUCCUUAGAUUAGAUAAAUUGAAAAAAUACAAAAGAGUUCUCUUCCCUGUAAUUAGAAUUGCAUACACCAUCGACAUAAAGAGUUGUAGUAUGAUUAUGAUUAUAGUUUAAAGUAUUUUUCAUUUAAAAAUGUGUUAAAACAUAUUUUUGUAUUUUUUAAAAAAAUUAUUUUUAAUAUCAAUACACAUUAAAAAAACAUAAAAAAUCAAUUUUUAAAAAAAUAUAAUUUCAGCUAUGUUUCAAACACUACCAAAAACUGCAGAAAUGCCACAAAUAUGGUACAAUAAACAAGUAAUGAAAGCAUGAAAACUAGAAAAGCAUUGAAGAUUAGGGAUUGCUAUUGUGGUAUAAAGAGCCCAGCCUUCAUCCUCACUGUAAAAAAGAAUGAUAGGAAAAAGAAAACAUAGAAAGCUUCAAGAAGGGCUAGAGCAUGCAUCGUGGUCAUUAAUCAAACAAGGUUACAAGCUACAAGUGUUUUGCUUCCUAAGCAUUUGUUGCUAGAACAAUCUUUUAUAAAGAAUAUAGAUAUUAAAUCUUCCUCGGCGUGAUAAGUUAAUUUAGUAAUAUAAGAUAUGAUUCAAAUUGAGUUGUUGACUAGAAUUAAUUUACUCAACUCAUAAUCUAUAUGAGUUAUGGGCUAGAUGAAUUUUUUAUAUAUAUUAAUAUGGGUAUUUGGUUUAGUUUGUGUUUAUUUUAAUUAAUUUUACAGACUCUGAAGUUAUUAAGUUUCUAGUGGCCCUGAUGUUUAUGAGACUCAAACUGGUGAUCUUUAGCAUAAUUUUUAAACCCAGCCCGGUCAAAGGCUUGGGUUCUGGAUUUUGACCGGGUCACCAGGUCGUCUAGGUCAAUUUUUAUUUUUUAAAACAAUCAAAACGAUAUUAUUUUAGUAUAUAUAUAUAUAUAAAAAAAAAAAAACUAAAGUCAACGAGUUGCAACUGGGUUUUGCCAGGUCAACCAGGUCAUUGGAUAUAUCCACCGGGUCAUGACUUUUCCUAUUUUUUUUUUAAUUCGGUCCAGUUCUAGCCCUGGAUCACGGGUUAAUAUGCCGGGCCGGAUCGAGUUUCAAAACUAUAAUUUUUAAAAAAACAAAUUCAAAAUCUGAACAGUUAAAUUAGAAUUCUUGUAAAUAUGAAAUGAAAUUUAAUAGCUCUGUAAGUAAACUAUAAUGUACGUACGAAGGGGAUCAUUUCUGUAAUUUUGGACUAGCACACAUUCUCCCUCUCUCUUUAUGGUAUGCUCCCAUAAUCAAAGAAGGAUAAAGAAAUUACAUGAUGGUUCGAUAUAAUAUAAUAAUCUGUCAUAAUUUAGUUACUCAAGGUUGGUGGCCAUAUAAUUAACCCAAGAAAGCAAAACCCUAAUUAGUUUUUCCACCAAGCUAUUCCAUCACAGAAAAACAUGGUACAAAGAUGUAAAUUGUGUGACUAUCACGCUUACUGAUGGAAUAUAAUUUAUGUUCCAAGUAAUCAUGUUGUCAUGCAAAUAUAAUAAUGUUCUUCGUCACAAAUAAUAAUUUGUCGAGGCCCCUGAUAAUUUUCGUGUUCUGGACUCUAGUAGAAUUGAAAUGUAGAGUUGUAAUGUUUUGUGUGGCCGAUGUAUCUCUUCUUGCAUGCCAGAGUCAUAGCAUGUAAUAUGGAGGAAAAACAGGAAAAUAUUUGUCCAGAAUGGUCAAGUUUUUUACAGUGAAAUUUAAUUGUUUUGUGUUAACAGAAUUAGACUAGGAGUCUCUUUGGAAAUACAAUUCAUCUUGUGAUUUUAAAAAUUUUGAAGUUUUUUAAUUUAAAACUCAUACUUUUUAGUGUUUUUUUUAUUUUGAUACGUUGAUAUCAAAAAUAAUUUUUAAAAAAUAAAAAAUACUAUCUUUAUAUAUUUCUAAACUAAAAUUACUUUAAACCAUUACCAUUACCUCAAUUUCUAAUAAACCCUGAUUACAUUUAAAGUGUUUAGAAGUAAGGCUUUGAACUGGUGUCAACAAUACAACACGUCCUCCACUCUUUCAAUCAUGGCGAUGGAGCCACAUCCAUGAUUAACGCUUUGGAGUAAGCAUGCUUUAUUCAAUUAAUGGCUGGAAAAUUAUAUUAAGGAUAAAAUAGAAUAUUAAGGAUUUUAGCCACCGGAGGCCCUGCCGGUCCGGUUUAAUGUGAAUGGGGUCUUCACCAAAACUAUGAACGGGGUUAUUGAAUUAUUAUUCAAAUAACACUUAACUUAAAUCCAUUCUAGUUUCCAUUUAAAAAGUGUUUAAAGUAUGUUAAAAUAUUUUUUAUUUAGAAAUGUAUUAAAAUAUUAUUUUAUUUUAAUUUUAAAAAAAUAUUUUUUAUAUCCGCACAUCAAUAUAAUUUAAAAAAAAAAUAAAAAAUUUAAUGUUUUUUUAAAAUAUUUUUGCUACGCAUAGGGUUGGGUAUGAACUAUGAAACUGGCCGAGAAUCAAUAUGCAUCUAGAGUAUCCAUUGUGGGCCAUAGUUUUGCACCUCUAGCCCGAUAGAAUAUGGGCUGGGCUCCAACUUCCAUCCUCGAGCGAGAUUGAAACGUUAAAUGGUACAAUGACUAGUGUCUUCGACCUCUUCACAUACAAGUUUUUUUCAAACAAAAAAGAGAAGGAAAACAAAAAAUUGUAUUCUUCUCGUAUCAAUAUGUGAACCGACUUAAAUGAGAAUUUGGCAUUUUAUAAAAUGAAUAUUUGGAAACAUGAUUGUAUCAUAUUUUUUAAAAAUUUAAAUUUUUUUGUUAAAAAAUAUUUUUUUGCAUGUUUUUGGAUUAUUUUGAUGCGCUAAUUUUAAAAAUAAUUUUUUUAAAAUAAAAAAAAUAUUAUUUUAAUGAUUUUAACGUGAAAAAUACUUUAAAAAAUAACCACAACCAGAUUCCAAAAUAACCUAGAACAAAUCAAGAGAUCUUGUUCCCAAAAGAAAAGGAGACAAGCAAAGCUAAAAAUAUUAUUUUAAUAAUUUUAACGUGAAAAAUACUUUAAAAAAUAACUAUAACUAGAUUCUAAAAUAUUCCAGAACAAAUCAAGAGAUCUUGUUCCUAAAAGAAAAGGAGACAGGCAAAGCUAGAAAUAAAGCUGAAACAAGAAGGCAAUAGAGGGAAACUUGUGGGGCUUUGAAUUCAUCCACUCAAUUUUAUAGAAUGUAUAAUACAAUCAUAAGUGUUAAUAUAGCGAAUUUAUUUUGGGUGGCGGUUACUUUCUUUCAUAAAACAAGAGAGAAAGUAAAGGAUGAAAAAAAUUAUGUUUUGCAAUGUGUUACGUUAUUUUUUAAAAAGUGUUUUAUAAUUAAAAAUAUAUUAAAAUGGUAUUUUUAUAUAUAUUUUUAAUAUCAACACUUUAAAAUCAUAAAAUAUUAUCUAAAACUCAUCAAUUUGAUAUAAAAAAACAAUUUUAAAAAGCAGGUUAAACCCUAAAUAAAUACACUCUAGAAAUAAAAUAAAAUUAGAAGGGUAGAUUUUUUACAUUAAAACUAUAAGGUGCAUGUCCAAUACCAAUUUGGUAGCAUGUCUAGUUAGACGUGCACCUGUUUUGGGUGUACGCUCAACUUAGACUUGUGCUACUACUCUGAAGUCCAUGCUUCUUGGGUGAUGAACUUGGAGUACAACACUCAAGUCCAAACUUAGACUAUCUGUUAGGCCUGAGCUUGAUAACCUAAGCCUAGAUGAUUUUUUAGGUUUUUUAUAAGAGGUUUUAGACUUAUUAAUUUUUUAUCCAUUUAAAAAAAAUAAAGUAAUGGUUAUUUUUAUUUAUUUUUAUCUAAAUGGAUAUAUAAAGUAUGAUAAUUUGAAUAUGAUUAUUCAAAAUCUUUAUACGAUGAGUAAUUGUUAGGUUAAGAUUUUUUAUUUUUCUACUGGUAUGGUUAUGGUUAUAACUAGGGGUGUGUAAAAAAACCGAAAAACCGAAUAAACCGUGAAAACCGAGAAAAAAUUAACCGAAAAAACCGAACCGAAAAAAAAAACCAAUUAAACCGAUUAGAAUAGUUAGGAAACAUCCCGGUUCAGUUCGGUUUUCGGUUUUGUAAUGCAGGAACCGGUUAACCCGGACCGAACCGAACCGAUUCAAAAAAAGUCAUUAUAAAUAGAAAAAUUAUCCCCCAUCUUAACCCUAGCCGCAGCCCCCUCUCACUCUUUCUCUCCAGCAGCCUCCUCAAGCCUUCCCUUCUCCCUUUCCUUCUUAGCUGGGUUGUGGUGCAGAGAGGCUUAGUUGUGGCUGCUGGAGGGAGGCUGUUGUGGGUGUCUAGGUGAGAGAGGGAGAUCUGUGAGGAUGAGGGUGAAGGAUCUCGGUUCAAUAAAGAGGAAGAUGGGGCUGAAGGAGAUGUUGGGUUCGGGGUUUGUUACUUUGUUUGCUGGGGAAAAAAUGUUGAACUACCAUUCUAUACAUGUGGUGCUGCUCCUCACGGUUGGUGAAAAAAAUAAUGCAAGAACUAGUUUCUAUAUUUAUAAGAUCUUACACUGAUCAAAGCUCCUGCAGGAGCAUGCUUACUUUAUCAAUAACCUUUCCAUUAGGAGCCCUCGCCACAAGAGAAUUCGCCAAAGGUUAAGGAGGCGACCAAGAAGAGAGCAGAGACUGGCGAGUUUGAGAAGAAAUAUGAGCAUAUAGGUUUUCUCGGUUUUUUGAAAUCAAGAACCGGACCGAAACCGGUCGGUUUGACUCGGUUUCAGUUUUUUUUUAAAAAAAGAAAACCGGUUUGGUUAUUUUUUUCAGUUCAAAACCGAACCGAACCGAAAAUGCUCACCCCUAGUUAUAAUAGUAUUUAAAAAUUUAUAUAUCCGAUAUAUUAUCCAAGUGAUGGAAGUACAUGAUUGAAUUAUGAUUAUUGAUUUUUCUACCUUCAAAAGUUUUUUAGUUUUAGUCUGCACGUAGGUGUGAUAUAAGGGUGAGGGGGGAUUCAUUGUUCACCCACACCCAAUACACUAUGGACUACCAUUAUGCAUUCCUUUUUUUUUGUCACUUUUUUUUUAUUAUUAUUAUUUUGGCACCUUUUCUCCCCCUUUCCUUUUUUUUUUCUCCAAAAUUAUCUUUGUCAAUUUUACCUUUUUAAUAUCGAGCUGGUUAAAAAUUUUGCUUUGUAAUUUUUUUCUUUUAAACUAUUAUGGAUUGCUACAGUGUUUUCCCACAUGAUUUUUUUAUUUUAUUUUUUUUUAUUUUCCAAAAUUACAUUUGUCGAUUUUUUUUAAUAUUGAACUAAUUGAGAAUUUAGUUUUGUAAUUUUUUUUCUUUAAAACAUUAUUGAUUGCUACAGUGUUUCUCCACGUGUUUUUUUUUAGUUUUUGUUUGUUUUAUGAUUUUCUCCAAAAUUAUCUUUUUUAAUUUUAUUUUUUAAUAUUGAGCUGGUCAAGAAUUACAGUUACAAUAUAUGAGGGAAGCACUGUAGUUUUCCUCGCAAAUUACUGUGGUUUGUUACAAUAUUUUUUCCCAUAUAGUUGUUUCUUGUUUUUUUUCUAAAAUUGUCUUUGUCAAUUGUUUUUUAAUAUCAAGCUGGUUAAGAAUUAUAAUUACAAGUAAAUACAAGUAAUGCUAAAUCAUUUGGGGAAAACACUAUAACUUUCCUUACAAAACACUAUGGAUUGAUACAUUUUUUCCUCACAUGGUUUUUUUCCAGUUUCUUUUUUUGUGAUAUUUUUUUCAAAAUUAUCUUUGUCGAUGUUAUUUUUUUAAUAUUGAGCUGAUUAGAAUUUAACUUUGUAAUAAAGCUUAAUCAAGUAGGGAAAGCAUUGUAUCUUUCCUCACAAAACAUUGUGGAUUGCUGCAGUGUUUCUCCACGUAGUUUUUUUUUCUUAUGAUUUUUCAAAAUUAUCUUUGUCAAUUGUUAUAUAUAUAUAUAUUGAAUUGGUUGAAAAUUACAAUUAUAAGUCAUUACAAACAAGGCUAAAUCAUUCGGAGAAGCACUGUAGUUUUUAUCACAAAACACUGUAAAUUGCUACAGUGUUUCCAACAUGGCUUUUUUUUUUUUCAAAAAUUGUCCAUGUCGAUUUUAUUUUUUAAUAUUGAGUUGAUUGAGAAUUUAGCUUUGUAAUUUGUUUUUCUUUAAAACACUAUAAAUUGCUGCAGUGUCUUCCCACAUGAUUGUUUUUAUGAUUUUUUCUCAAAAUUAUCUUUGUCGAUUUUUUUAAUAUUGAGUUGGAUAAAAAUUAUAAUUAUAAUAAUAAUAAAAAUAAAUCAUAUGAGGAAAGCGUUAUUGUUUUCCUCAUAAAACACUGUAGAUUGCUAUAGUAUUUAUCUAAAUGGUUUUUUUUACGAUUCUUUCUAAAAUUAUAUUUGUCAAUUGUAUUGGGAAAAACACUGUAGUUUUCCUCAUAAAACAUUGUCAGUUGCUACAACAUUUUUUUUCAUAGGUUUUUUUCAUUCCAAAAUUAUAUUUGUCGAUUUGUUUUAUAUUAAGUUAGUAGAGAAUUUAGCUUUAUAAUUUGUUUUGCUUUUUAUUAACAUAAAAGCUAAAUCAUUUGGUGAAAGUACUGUAUCUUUCCUUACAAAACACUAUGGGUUGCUGCAAAUCAUUUUGUUCGGUCUCUAAGUUUUUUUAUCACCAACACAAUUUUUUUUUCAUCAUUAAAUAUUGACUCCAUCAUACCUUUAAUUUUUAUUAUUUAUCUAGCGCUGAUUCAUAAUUAUAACACUAUCAAGUACAUUUGUUUUAUAAGCUCGCAGCAGCGUGCGAACAUGCCAUCUCGUAUGAAUAUAUUUCACUCAUUCACACACACCCAUAUAUAUACCUUACACACGUAUAAACACAUAAAUAUAUAGACUAACUAACUAACUAUAUAUAUAUAUAUAUAUAUAUAUAUUCUGAUGGAUUGGCCAAUAAUCUUUGCUAAAAGGAUAUAUCAUAAAUUUAAUAUAUAUUUAAAAUUAGGCAAUAUUUGUUUGUGAAACUCAUCAUAUAAACAAACAAAAUCUUGAACUCAGCCCGGUUAUCCAUGUAAAUCAAAAAAAAAAUCUUGAACUCACACACGAUUUAUAUGAUAUGUAGUAUAUAUUCAGUAUCAUAAUGUAAAUAUAUUUUUCUUUAAAAUACAUUAAAAUAUUUUUUUAAUCAAUAAAUCAAAAUUAAAAAAAAAAAUCUCUUAAAAAACACCACUUUAAUUUUUUAAACUAAAUUCACUCACACACAAUCACAGAUACAACAUCUGCGCAGCAACAUCAUCAUCAGUCACGGAAUCAAAUCAAUCAAUACCACCGCUGCAUUUUUUUUUAAUGUGAAAAUAACAUCUCUCUUCAUGUGGGUUUUAGAAUCCGAGUUUAGAUUGCAUGGAUAAACGCAGCCAUGGUCCCCUCGUCAAAUUACAGACCGCUGGUUGAGCAAAGAAACUUUCUUAGAUACCCUGAAUCUAUCAUUGUCUCCAUUUAUUGUCUUACUUCUCCUCAGUGCUAAUGCUCCGGGCACCACGAAUAUAUAUAUAUAUAUAUAUAAACAAACACACACACACACACACACAAAAGACAUACUUCUGCAGCUUAUUUAAUGUGCGUAGUUUGCUUCUUUCUUGCCUUCAUGGUCAUAGAUCUCCUGCAUCAGAUUCUCGAUAAUGUAACUCCUGCCAGCACUGUAUCCCUUUUGCGGCUGUUAACAUCAAGAAGACAUGGCCCCUCUCCAUUAUUGGAGUUGCCGGCCGGCCCUUGUCAGCCGGAGCUAUGAACUUCUGAUAUUUUGGGAUUACUUGUUGCAUCUUCGAAAAUGGAUUGCAUGUGUGAAACCCAAUGGAAAGAAACUCAAAAUCCACAUAUAAAUUGAUCUGAAAACAAUUUAACUUAAUUUACAAGUUAAUUUAGUGACCCACUCACUGUUUGCAAUAUAAUACUGUUCAUUGUUUAAAAACCCUAAUCCAUGGAGCCAUGACUUUCGAGCAAGGGGCACUCAACCUCCUGCAAUCUGGCGAGGCCCUCUGCAUGUACUGUGUACUAUGCCUUAGCGUAUGGCUCUCAGAUUCAUAAUUACAAUCCUUUAUGGUGUUAGGUUCGUGUCUUGUCAUCUCUCUCGAUUGCUUGCGGAUUUCACACACUGUGGGACUCGAAUCCACACGUCUAAAAUUUAGCAUUUUAUCUAGUGUCUGGAAGGUAGUAAUUUUUUUUCACUGUUCUGCUGUCCUCGCUACACCGACCUGAAAAAUUAAAUAAAUCUAGUUUAUGAAGUUGUUUUAUUAUAAAUUAUAAAUAAAAAAUAUUUGAUUUUAAUAAAAUAAAUUAAUAUAUAUAUAUAUAUAUAUAUAUAUAAAUAAAAGAAGAUAUUAACACUAACUAAAAAAUGAGUUAUUAAAUAAAAAUAAAUAUACAUAUUAAAAUCACAUCUUGAACAAGAGAAGAAGCACCCCUCACAAGCUAUGGAAUCUACCAAUGGAUCAAUACCACUCACACCUCUCUAGAGGUAACCAGAGAUAUACAGAAAUGGAAGCUCUCAACUUUAUUCAAUAACUCUUAGCCUGAAUUAAAUAAGAAUACCAGGAACAACUUCCAAUUUAAGGUUAAAUGAAAAUGCAGAAGUCUAGAUAACAUUUAGAUAAACUAAAUGAAAGAAUUGAAUUUUUAAAUGAAACUUUUGACUUAACUGUAGAAGAUAGCAACUGUAAAGUUGGUUCCUUACUUCAAGAGUUCUUGAUUUAGGGAUUUUAUGAGAUUGUGAUAUCAAUGAUAGUUUAAAGUGUUUUUUAUUUUGAAAUAUAUUUAAAUAAAAAAAAUUUAUUUUUGAUAUUAGUAUGUUGAAACGAUAUAAAAACAUAAGAAAAAUUAUUUUAAACAAAAAUAAAAUUUUAAAAUUUUUAGAAACGCGGUUUGCACAACAUUCUCAACACAUACCCUCAAUGGUCAUGCAUCAAACAUCAUGUUGGACCUGUUCAAUUAUUUUUAUUUAAUUAUAUAAUAAUAUAUUUUAAAAAAACACAAUAAUAUCAACUAUAUUUUUUUAUUAAUAGACUCGGUUAGGUCAACUUGGUAAUUUAUAAAUUUCACAUGUAGAUUUGUUCAAGUUUUAAAGUAAACUAGAUAAGAGUUAAUCUAGUGUGGGUCGUACUAACAUGAUAAGUACACUUCAACUCAAUCGACCUAGCUAAAACUUAGUUUGCUUUGAAAAAAAUUUAAAAAUGAUGUUGAUUUUAUUUUUUUUAUGUAAAAAAUAUUAGAACAACGAUAUUUUAAAUAAACCCGAGUCAAAUUAGCCUAACUCACCCAAACUAUGACCCAGGUCACGGUUAUAAUUGAGUUUAACAACUUUGCUUUUUAAAUUUUGUUUUUUAUUUAAUAAAAUAAUAAUAAUAAAAAGAUAUUGUCGAGAAGAUAUCGUAUAAAAUUAUUGAGAAAAAAUAUAUUUAUUCAACUAAAACUUAUCUCAUUGUUAAUGCAUAUCUCCAUUAUUUCAAUGAAAGCAUGCAUUUUUUUUAACUGCAAGCACUUUUUUAAAAUUAAAACCUAUUACGAUUUCAGAAACAACUUUUAAAACACAUUUAAAUAAUAUCUUGGUAUUCUGUAUAUGAUUGAUGGAAAAAAUUGAUAAUUAUGGUAAAAUAAUGAAAAAAAAAAAUUAAAGAGGAUAAUUAUUUUAUGAAAUAUUCACAGGCAAUUGUUUUCUUAUUUUUUGCAUAUUAGGUAUAUAAUAGUUAAAACUGAAAUGUUAACAUUCCCAUAAAAAAAUAUAAUAUUAUUUAAGAUGCAUGAUAAAAUUAAAUAAUCAUUUACAUAUUACGUCAAUCCUUUUCUAGAUAAACUUUUUACUUAUUUAUUUAUUUUUAUGAUUUUUUUUAUUGUGAAGACGCUUGAUAUAUUUAUUUUUUUAUCUAAUAAAUGAUGGACCUAAUCCUUAUAAAUAAAUAUAGAUAACUAACCACUGCAAUCAUCAAAUAUUUGCAAUUUUAUUUUAAUUAAUUCUUACACGUGCUGAUUUCAUGUACCAUUGACAACCAGCCCUUGCGAGCAUUUAAACAUCGAUCGGAUAAUAUAUCAUUCAUGUCAGAGAUCUCGAGUUUAUCAAAAAAAGGUUAUUAAAAUCAUUUUUUUAAAACUAGAAUUUCAUAUAAUAAUGCUAAUAAUUAAUGAUUUCUCUAACAGCUAUUGUAAUCAAUUAAUUUUAUUAUUUUUUUUAGAUGUCUCUAUUCGAUAUACAGGACUUCUGGACCAGAGAAUGCUAGAUAAAUUAUCGUAUUUAAUUCUAUCCUAAAUUCUAAUUUUAUUCAAGUUAUUGUUCGUUCACUUGUUUCCCAGUUCUAUUUAUGAAUUUGGUUUAGAUUUUGGAAUUAAUUUCACCACAUUUUUCUUUCUUUUGGGCCUUUAAGACCUAAAAUUGGCAAGGUGAGAUUUGGUUCAUAGUUUAAUUCAUUUAGUUUUUUUUUUAUACUUGUUUAUUUUUAUAUUUUAAAAAUAUUAAAAAAAUUAAUUUUUUUUAUUUCAAAUUAAUAUUUUUUUAAUGUUCUUGUAUCAUUUUGAUAUACUGAUAUAAAAAAUACUUUUUAAAAUAAAAAUAUUAAUUUAAUAUAUUUCUAAAUAAAAAAUACUUUAAAAAAUAAUUACAAUCAUACUCUGAAAAACAAAAUCUAUAUCUUUUAAUUAUAUCCUUUGAGUUUUCACGUGAUCCAACUUAAUUAAAGGAAAGUUUGAAUGAACAAAGACAUCCUGCUUGUAAACAGCAACAAUAAAUCUUCAAAUAUGGCAACCUCAAAGUAGUUGGCAAAUAUAUAAAAAAGAAAAUAUAAAAUUUAUAUAACUAUUCAUUUAAAAUUGGAUAUAGUUAAUUUCACAUAUAAGAUCUGCAUUUGGAAAAUUUGUAACAACAUAGGUAAAUGCAAACUGUGAAAUGCAAAAAAAAAAAAAAACAAUUAAGCUGCAAUUAAAAGAAAGCAAAAAUAGAGAAGGAAAUUAUAUAUAUAAAAAAUUUUAAAACAUUUGAGGUGGAGAGAACACCGUUUAUGUGAAUAAUAAACCAACUCAACUUUUUUUUUUUUCACUUGAGUUUUUUUUAAUUGAGUUCUUUUGCUUUUCAUUUAACAAACCUUAAUCUUAUUUUUUUCAUCUAUGUUUUUUUUUUUAUUGAAUCUUUUUACUUUUUAUUUAACAACUGUAAUGUAUUUUUAUAAAAUUAAUACCCGACAAAUCAUGAAAUAAUAUUUUAAAUCAUGGACAGUCAAGGUAUUAUGAGAUAAAAUAUAAAAUAAAAACAAAUAAUAAAAAUACAACAGAGGAAAAAUAUCAACGAUUCACUAUUGUCAUUCAAAAAUCCCUUUUCAAACAUCACCACACUCUUUAUUUUUAUGGGUUUAAGAUAAUAAUGCAAAAUAUUUUUUAUUAUUAUUAUAUUAAAAUAUAAUGAUAUAUUAAAAUACUAUAAUACCAAGUAAUGGAGCUUCCAAGUAAUCCAAAAAUCAAAAAUCGCUGUUCACCGUUGAUCGUUGACUACCUUACAUUCACAUGGCCAUGAUACACCGCCCAUAUUUUAUUUGUCAUAUACCUUCACAUGCGGUGACGGUUGUAAGAAAACAAAACUUCCAUACCCCAAUAAUGAGAAACAUGUUAUGCGCCGCUCGUUCAAAAUUUCAGAGCAAAAAUUAUAAUAGUAUCUCCAAUGCAAAAUGUUGUUUAUAUUUGUAAUGGUUCUAUUUUAUUGGUUUUGGCUCCUUGAAAAGAUAUGUAGAAAUAAUACUUGUGGAAGAAAAAAGUUAUUUUAACAUUUUGUUUGGCUUUUCCCUUGAAGUGUGCAAAACAAGUAAAGAAAAGCUAAAAUAUUAGUUUUUUAUUUUUGACUCUUCAUUUAGCUUUUCCAUUGAAGAUGCUCUAAGACACGGAUAAAAAAAGAAAAAAAAAAAUAGCUAUAAAUCAAUCCUCAAUCUUUGAAUUAUGAGCUUGCAAAGUUAUGCAAUUAGCUAGAAUAUCAACACUAUAUGGUCAUGUAUCAAAGCGUAUUUACUUCCCUCCACGGAAGGAAAAGAGAGAAUACGAGCUUAUGAGAGAAUCUUUUUUUUUUUUUAUUAAUCUUGCAGUUAAUUUAAAUCUUAAUCAAUUUGAUCAAGAGAUAAUUGAUUUUUGGUUUGAUUAAGACUCUUAUAGGGGAAAUAAAAAUCAUGUAUUUAACAUUAAGAGAUGAGUUCAUUAAGUUUAACUUUAAUACAGGAUUUGAGAGUUUUACACCUGUUAUAUGUAACUAAUAAUUUGAAAGUGUUCAAGAGAUUACUUAUUUUUAUUUUUAUGUUUUAAAAAUAUUUUUAAAAAAUAAUAUUUUUUAUUUUUUAUUUAUUUUUUAAUUUUUAUAUAUAUAUUUUAAAUCGUAUUGAUAUAUUUAUAUUAAAAAUAAUUUUAAAAAAAUAAAAUAAUAUAUUAUUUUAAUAUUUUUUUAAAUAAAAAAUAUUUUAAAACAUAUUCACUCUUGCAGUACCAAAUAAGCUAUAAAUAUUACAAGAUGACAGUUUCGACAUCAUUUUAAACCAUAAAUAUUAAUUUAAUAUAUUUUUAAAAUAAAAAUUACUUUACAAAAAUAACCUUUUACCACAGACAUACAAACACCGGAAUGAAACUGGUCCCAGCUGUCCAAAGUAUCUUAUUGCUAGAUUAGAUUGCAUUGACCAUACUACACCUUCGCAGGGGAUUUUUAUUACACACAUUCACACUCCUUUUAACUGCCUCCAAGUUUUCCCCUUGUUUGUCUUUGUCCUCUCUUGUCCAAAACCAUUUCACUUGAUACCAUGUUCUUCUAGCUAGCGGUGGUUCCAUCGGAAAGCCAAAGCCCACCAACGAUCAAUUCUUGAACCAAUCCCACCAAUAUGUGAAUCUUUCCAUCACUUCUUGAAUUUAUCUAUAAUGGGUUGUUGUGUUAGCACCACCAAUGAACCUUCAAAGCUGAAAGAACAGCAACAUUCUCAAGUAGGAUCUGAAUCUUUGAAGCAAACCAAGUCACCGCCUCCUUCUCUUUACCAAGAAGAAACUGUAAAAGAAGUCCUCUCUGAAAUUCCCAAGCCACCAACGAAUCCCAUCAAGAAUCCACACCAGGAAACUGACCUGCAACAACAAGAAGUCCCCAAGAAGGAAAGAAUCCACAUUGACCCGGCAUUUCUCGAUGAGAUCAAGAUUCAAGAGAACGAGAACGAGAACGAGAUCAAGAUUCAAGAGAACAAGUUCAAGAAAGAAGAAGUUGAUCAUCAAGUUCAGAUCUUUGAACAAGAUGAAUCUGAAGUUUGCAGCUUGAGCUAUAGUGAAAGCAUCUCAACAACAACAACGAACAACAAUGACAGAAGAGACUAUUAUGAUGAUGAGAAUGAGGUUAAGCAAAGAGUGUCUAGAUCUCCAUUGCCACCAAGAAACCGGGUUUCAGGUGAAUUGGGCCCGAGAAAAGACCGGGUCGUGGGCAGGUCACCCACCCGGAGAACAACAGAACAGUCGCCAAGCAAGAGAAAUGGCGCAAUGAAAGGAGGGCCAGUGAGGUUGGUUCAGGGCCGGGAAACGGGUUCCGGCCAAGUGGGAAUUAGGAGGGGUUUGAGACCCGACCCGAACAGGAGAGACCCGGGUGAAGGGUCAGCGAGAAGGUCCAGGUCACCGGCUACAAAUAGAUCUUUAAUGGGUCGGAGCCCGUCCACUAGGAGGACAAACCGGUCCCCAGGCCGGGUCAGGAAGGAUCCCAAUGAGGGUGGCGGUGGUAGCGGUAACAAGGAUAAUGUCAUGGAGGCCAAGUGGCCAAGCACUAAUAAUAGUGAUGAUAAUGGGACUCAAAACGAGUCACUAGAAAACCCUCUAGUGUCACUUGAGUGCUUCAUCUUUCUUUAAACGGGGGAUAUUCCGGUCGAAUAUUCCAGCCGGGGCUAGUGUUUACUGAUUACUUGGCUCACUUUUGUGACCAUUUUUUUAUUUCUUUCUGGUUUUCUUCUGUUUUCAGUGAAUUAUAGUAAUGGUCAACAUGGAGAUGUGGACAAAGGAGGAGAUAUUGUGUUGUGGCCACUCAGAUAUGCAAAGCCAUUGAAUUGACCAUUGAUUCCCUUUCUUGCCAUGUUUGCCAAGUUCUCUGUCCUUAUGAUUAGUCUAUUCGCUUGCCUACAAUGCAAAAGAUUUGCCUACCGAAGCAUCUGAUUUCUUCUCUUAUAAUGUAGAAAAGACUGAAAAGAUUUAAUGAAAUUACUUUGCUUGUGAAUUGUCAAAACUAGAUUGCUUUCUGCUUCCUGAGCUCACCUGUGUUUUUACUUUUUAGAACACUCUUGGGCCCUCUCUCCCUUUACAUGAGUAACUGAACUUUCCGAGAAAAACACUUCACAUUUCUUAUAUUCUUGAAUAUUUAGCUUGUUAAACAAGUGCUGCACUGAUUGUUUUCUAAUUAGAAAAGUGAUAAAAUAAUAUACUUUUAUUUUUAAAUUUUUUUUUUACAUUAUCAUAUCAAAUUAAUUUUAAAAUAUACAAAAUAAUUUAAAAUAAAUAAAAAUUUAUUUUUUUCAAAAACAUUUUUAAACCGAGAAAAGAAAACAAAAGGUGGUGGUAUUAUGAGUUUGUUAUGUAAUAAUUGUUUUUUUAAAGUAAUAUUUAUUUGAAAAUAUAUCUAAAUAAUUUUUUUUAUUUUUUUUUAAAUAUUACUUAGAAAUACAUCUGAAUAAUAAUUUUGUUAAAAUUUUUAAUAUUAUUACAUCAAAAUAAACAUAUAAAAAACUAUAUUUUUUUUAAAUAAAGUUUUUGAAAACAGACAUUCAACUACAUUUUCUUGGCAGUUAAAAUCAAUUAAAAAAAAAGAUUUUCAUCUCGAUUCCAAACCAUACUCGAAUUUCACUAGCAAAGAAGCUCUUGAAGUAAUUUAUCAAACUACAUAGUUUCAUUUACUGUGAAAAUGGGUUUUCCAUCUCGUUCGUCGAGCGAGCCAGAAGUAGUAGUUUCUUUUUUCUUGGCAGAAAACAUGGUCGAGUCGAGUCCCAUGAGAACCUCCGUUGGUUUGCAAGAGGGGUGGAGCGGCGCCAUGAAUGCUUUUGUCUCGCAGUAUUUGUGUGCUCGUACAAGUUACGAGCAACAUCAAUAACUACCAACGUAGCUUGAGAUUAUAAACUUGGAUUCAAUUAUGAAUCUGCCUCUUAUUCAAAUUUAAAAAUAAGACAGUUCAUUUACCAAGAUAAUGUUAUAUUUUUAAAGUGUUUUUUGUUUAUAAAUAUAUUAAAAUAAUAUAUAUAUUUUUAAUUUAUUUCUAACAUCAAUGCAUUAAAACAAUUCAAAAACAUAUUUAUUUUUAAAAAAAUUAAUCUAAUAGCAUCUUAUCAUAAAUAAUUUUGGAACACUCAUAGAACUCAACCAAAUGGCAUAUGAUCAAUUAUUCAAGAAGCUAAUUAUCUAGGGGUUUUGUGUGAUUAUGGUGCGACUUGUUUUUUGAAUUGUUUUUUAAAAUAAUUUUUUACUUGAAAAUAGAUAAAUAUAUAUAUUUUUUAAUUAUUGAUAUCAUCACAUUAAAAUCAAUAAAAAAAUACUAAAAAAACAUGAAUCAAAUAUUUUUUUAAAACAAAAAGCAUUUUUUAAAAAUACUUAAAAACAAGAAUAAAAGCGGCGACAAACACCCACUUAAUAUUAUAAUUCAAAGAAUGCAAUAAGUUUCACAAAAAGAGGGAGAUUUGCACUGAUUUAAAUUUUGUACAUAUAUACAUGCGUCCUGCAUUUUCAUUAAAUACGACGUAACUUUUUCUUUCGAGUGGAAGCGUGGGGGGGUGGGAAAGAAACAAGGCAGCCAUGAAAUAAAAUUGUCUUGCAUGAGAAAUUGAAAAUUUAAGGUGGGAAGGAGGAGGGGAACCCCACCUUUUUUUAUAGCCGUUUGAGGAUUGAGAGAAUACGGACAGCAUUACCAGUAGUGGUCCAAGUUUUUAAUAUUAUGCCGUUGAUGGCGUUUGGUGCUGCCUUUUGUCCAGAAACCAAGCAAUGGGCAAAUGUAUCUGUUAUUUUGGACUGUUCCUUUGGUUCUCUUUCAACUUUUAAAGGUUUUUUUUCUUAAUUUAUUAUUAUUGUUGUUGUGGUGGUGGUUUAUUUUUCUUUUAAAAAUAUUAAAAUAAUAUAUAUUUUUUAAUUUUUAUAAUUUAAUUUUAAUAUCAUUGCAUUAAAAAAAUUCAAAAAAAUUCAAAAACAAAAUAAAAAAACUAUACAUCCUGAAAUAUCACAUUUCACAUUAAAAAAAAUAUCCCUGAGCUCAAAGCUGAAUCUAACCUAUUUGGUAGUGUAAUUAUAUUUUUUUUUAAAAAUGUUUUUUGUGUUGUAAUACAUUAAAAUAAUAUAUUUUUUAUUUUUUUAAAAUUAUUUUUUAAAUUAACACAUUAAAACGAUAUAAAAUAUAUAAAAAAAAAUUAAAAUUUUAUAAAAUAUGGUUUCAUCACGUUAACGAACAGUAAAAUUAAAAUGAAAACAAGAAGAAAGGCUGGCUUUAUUAAACCUUGAAGUCACUGUGUGACUUUGAUGUAAAAGCCACUUUUGGCCUGUCUGUUGAAAGAGAGUGAGGUGGGGCAAAGCAAGUGACGGGUUAUUUCAAAUAAUUAAUUUAAAGGUGUUUCUAUUGAUUAUUUUUUAAAAGUAAUUUUUAUUUUAAAAUAUAUUAAAUUAAUAUAUAUAUAUAUAUAUAUUUUUUUUAAAAAAUAUAUUUUUAAUAUUAACACAUUACAAUGAUAUAAAAAUAUAAAAAUAUUAAUUUUUUAAAAAAUUAUUUUUUAAAAGCAUAAAAGGAAAUUGUGUGAAGGAUAAAAGGGAAAAAAGAUUAAACCUGAACUCUUUCAAUAAAUUACUCUUAUCCGAAUUUGUUAGUAGAAAAGAAGAUAAUAAAGAAUGUUUUUCCCUACUAUACCAUUGUUUUAAUAAUUAUUAUUUUUAUAUAUAAAUUAAUGUUUUUAAGAUUAUAAAAAUUAAUUAAUUGAGAUGAUAUUCUACCAAGAUACUAUUUAAACUUCAAAUUCAAAUGAUCAAAAUAUUAUUUAAUCGAGAUUUUUUAGGUAAAUUGUUGAAUCAAACUUUCGAGUAUCU